AAAAUGUCUUAACCUGAUUUUAAGAUUUUUUGGGUUUUCUUCAUUCUCCUCUGACUUCGAAACUUGCGGCGGCGACUCAUCUCCGUCGAGCAUCUCUCCAACGGUGACAGUUCUCCGAGCCUUCGAUUCUGACCGACAUUCUCAUCUCCGUGGUAAGGUUUGUUUUUUCGCUGAUGUUUGUUCGAUUUGAAAUGUCGAAGUUUUUAUGUUUCUUCACAAUCGACUUGAUUCACGUGAUGUGAGUAUAAAGUUUUGGUUUUGUUUGUGUUUCUUCUAUAUUGGUCUAAAUGUGAAACCCAACCUGCUUCAAAGUUUUGAUCUUUCUCAGUUCUUUCAAGUAUAACUACGAGUUUGUGAUGAGAGUCUUGAUUUAAGUGUGCUUGUGAAUCUGCUUGAUGUUGACACUUGAAAUUGAGAAUUGUGUUUUGUAUGUCUUCUCAUGACAACAACGAUGACUUGGUUGAUAAACAAGUUCAAGGAGAAGAAGAAGUUCAAGUUCAGACUAGUGUGGGAAAGAAAAGGACAGAAACUCAAAGAUCAAGUUCUGAUCUUCCAUCAAACCCAAGGAAGAAACUUGCUCAAAGUUCUGAUAUACGGCAAUACUUUGUUCCAAAGGACGAUGAUAAAGAGAGCACUAAUCGUACGAGGAAUGACAUUAGAAGAUGUGAGCUUUCUAGGGCUUAUCAAGAGACUAGUGAACAAAAAGUUUCGACUAGUGGUGAUCAAGAUGGUUUUCUAAGAUCAGUCAGUGAGUUGAUUGUUCUUAGUGGGCUGCCGUUUUCCUUCUUUGAAUCCGAGGGGUUUAGGAGAUUCUGUCAUACUUUACUCCCUAUAUACAAUGAGCUAUCACAAUUGACAGUUGCUAGGGAUAUUGCUACAAUGUAUUUGCAAGAGAAGGCUUUUUUGAAGAUGUUGUUUAGUGCUGAGAAGAUGAGAGUCUCUCUCACUACUGAUAUUUGGGAAGCUCCUACUACCUCCUGUAGUUACAUGGUUGUAACAGCUUUUUGGAUUGAUGCUAAUUGGGAAUUGCAGAAGAGAAUCAAUAGCUUUAAGCCCGUUUUAGAUCGAAAAGGAGAAACGAUUGCAAGACACCUUAUUGACUGUUUAGAUGAAUGGGGAAUUGAGAGAGUCUUCACAGUCACGGUUAAUAAUGCUGAGGGUAAUGAUAAGGCUCUAACCUUAUUCUAGGAUGCUAUGAGGUUAAAGGGAGCUAAUGCAUUAGUUAAAGAUGGUGAUUUUCUGCGUAUGCGUUGUUGUGGUGACAUCGUGAAUAUGCUUGUAAAAGACAGUAUGGAGCAUGCAAGUGAUAGUAUCGAUGCUGUUCAGAAUGCGGUAAAAUAUGUGCAGUCAUCCUUAUCAAGAUUAAAGUCAUUCGAGUUUCGUAUAGAGACGGGAAAGGUUCCUAAAGGCAACUUGUCAUUGGAUUGUGUUACUGAGUGGAAUUCGACGUAUCUUAUGUUGGUAGCUGCACUUAAGUUACGGGUAGCUUUUGAGAAGAUGUUGGGUGAGGACAAGCUUUAUGGUGAAUAUUUUCUUGAAUUAGAGGAGGAGACUGGAGAAAAACGGGUUGGACCGCCAGUUUCAGCUACUUGGGAUGAAGUGAAAAGGUUGGUAAAAUUUCUCGGAAUCUUUUUCAGUUGUACCGUGGGAUCUUCAGAAUCUAAAUCAGCAGCUUCUUCAAAUGGUUACAGUGAGAUUGCCACUAUUGAUUGGAAUCUAAUCAAAUUAACUAACAGCGUUGACGAAGAAGUACGGAGACAAGCAACAAGUAUGAGGGACAAGUUUGAGAAGUACUGGGAUGGGUUGAUCAACAUAAAUCCACUUGUUAUUGUUGCUAGUGUGUUUGAUCCAAGAAAGAAAAUGAAGUUUUCUUCACUUUGCUUUGACAUGCUCCAUGGUAAAGAUAGUUUGGAAGGUAAGCAACUUACAUCGUCAAUUAGGAGCGUGAUGCGUCAUCUAUGUGAAGAGUAUAGUAUACGGCUGAAUAAACAGUCUCAAAUUGGUGAUGCUGCAACCCAAAGUGAUUCUGAUGGGUUUAUAAGUCGUGACUAUUUGUACAACGAGAUGAUUAAUGAAAUGAGAAAAGAAGAAGCAAGGAAACAGCUGGAUGAUUACUUGCUAGAAAAAGUUGAGCCAGGGGGUUUAGGAUCAGAUUAUGAUGUUUUAUCGUGGUGGGAACGUAAUAGUUCGAAAUACCCAAUCUUGUCAGAAUUGGCUAGAGAUGUUCUUGCGAUUCAAAUGUCUUCUUUUGCUCCUGAGUCCGCUUUUUGUACCAGUGGUCGAAUCUUGGACCCUUAUAGAAGUUCUUUGACUCCUUACAUUACCGAAGCCUUGAUAUGCACACAACAAUGGUUGCAGAGUUCCCUCCAGUAUGAACCACAACUUCCUAGCUUAAAGCAAAUGUUUGAAGAACUUGACUUUCAAGAGUCACUUGGUAAUCCGGUUCUUUAUUUUUAUAACUUUUUCCAUAUAUGUUCAAUGAUGAAUAUCGGUUAUCUAACUAACUUUAUUUUUUUUCGUGUAGAUCCUUGGAAACAAUCUGAACCUGGUCACUAGAGGUACAAAACUUAUUUGUAUUGUGGAGUUUUUAAGUCUUCUGAUUUUAGUUUCCGCAUUUGUUUUGCAGUUCUUCUUUUACAGUUUCUGCUGUCAUUUCACUAUGCUUAACCUUUGCAUCAUUGCUUGUAGUCUCUGCAGUCUUUGCAUAAUUCUAGAAGACUCGUCGUAUCUGUCUUCAAGUCUACAUUUGAUAGUGUUAUUUACUUCGAAUCUGUAUAAGAGGACUGAAAAACAAAAUCGAAGUAAAUAACCAUCAUACAUAGAUUCGAAGCAGAAACGACGAGACUUCUAUAAUUAUGCGAAGACUGCAGAGUGUAGAAGCAAUGAUGCAAAGGUUGAACAUAGUGAAAUGACUGCAGAAACUAUAAAAGAAGAACUGAAAAAAAUGCAGAAACUAAAGAAGACUUAGAAACACCACAAUACAAAAAAAAAAUGUGUACCUCUAGUUGCAGCUAGACCUCAGUGACCAGAGGUUCAGGUUGUUUCCGAGGAUCUACACCAAAAAAAAUAAAGUUAGUUAGAUAACUGAUAUUCAUCACUGAACAUAUAUUGAAAAAGUUAAAUAAAGAACCAGAUUACCAAGUGACUCAUGAAAGUCUAGUUCUUCAAACAUUUGCUUUAAGCUAGGAAGUUGUGCUUCAGACUGGAGGGAAGUUUGCAACCAUUGUUGUGUGCAUAUCAAAGCUUCGGUAUUGUAAGGAGUCAAAGAACUUCUAUACGGGUCCAAGAUUCGACCACUAGUACAAAAAGCGGACUCAGGAGCAAAAGAAGACAUUUGAAUUGCAAGAACAUCUCUGGCCAAUUCUGACAAGAUUGGGUAUUUCGAACUAUUACGCUUCCACCAUGACAAAACAUCGUAAUCUGAUCCUAAACCCCAUGGCUCAAUUUUUUCUAUCAAGUAAUCAUCCAGCUGUUUACUUGCUUCUUCUUUUCUCAUUUCAUUAAUCAUCUCCUUGUACAAAUAGUCACUCCUUAUAUACCCAUCAGAAUCACUUGAUUGCUCAGAACCCCCAUGAUCGCUUUGGGUUGCAAUAGCAUCACUUUGAGACUGUUUAUUCAGCAUCAUAGUAUACUCUUCAUAUAGAUGACGCAUCACACUUCUAAUUGACGAUGUAAGAUGAUUAGCUUCCAAACUAUCUUUACCAUGGAGCAUGUCAAAGCAAAGUGAGGCAAACUUCAUUUUCUUUCUUGGAUCAAACACACUAGCAACAAUCACAAGUGGAUUUAUAUUGAUCAAUCCAUCCCAGUACUUCUCAAACUUGUCCCUCAUAUUUGUUGCUUGUUUCCGUACUUCUUCAUCAACGUUGUUACUUAAUUUGAUUAGAUUCGAGUCAAUAGUGGCAAUCUCACUGUAACCAUUUGAAGAAGCUGCUGAUUUAGAUUUCGAAGAUCCAACGGUAUAAUUGAAAAAGAUUCUGAGAAAUCCUACCAACGUUUUCACUUCAUCCCAAGUAGAUGAAAUUGGCGGUCCAACCCGUUUUUUUCCAGUCUCCUCCUCUAUUUCAAGAAAAUAUUUACCAUAAAGCUUGUCUUCACCCAACAUCUUCUCAAAAGCUACCCGUAACUUAAGUGCAGCUACCAACAUAAGAUACGUCGAAUUCCACUCAGUAACGCAAUCCAAUGACAAGCUGCAUUUAGAAACCUUUCCCGUCUCUAUACGAAACUCGAAUGACUUUAAUCUUGAGGAGGAUGACUGCACAUACUUCACCGCAUUUCGAACAGCAACAAUACUAUCAUUUGCAUGCUCCAUACCGUCUUUUACAAGCAGAUUCACAAUGUCACCACAACAACGCAUACGCAGAAAAUCACCAUCUUUAACUAAUGCAUUAGCUCCCUUCAACCUCAUAGCAUCCUGGAAUAAGGUUAGAGCCUUAUCAUUACCCUCAGCAUUAUUAACCGUGACUGUGAAGACUUUCUUAAUUCCCCAUUCAUCUAAACAUUCAAUAAGGUGUCUUGCAAUCGUUUCUCCUUUCUUAUCUGUAACGAGCUUAAAGCUAAUGAUUCUCUUCUGCAAUUCCCAAUUUGCAUCAAUCCAAAAAGCUGUUACAACCAUAUAGCUACACGAGGUAGUAGGAGCUUCCCAAAUAUCAGUAGUGAGAGAGACUCUCAUCUUCUCAGCACCAAACAACAUCUUCAAAAAAUCCUUCUCUUGCAAAUACAUUGUAGCAAUAUCCCUAGCAACUGUCAAUUGUGAUACAUCAUCGUACAUAGGGAGUGUAGUAUGACAGAAUCUCCUAAAGCCCUCGGAUUCAACGAAGGAAAACGGCAGCCCACUAAGAACAAUCAACUCACUGACUGAUCUUAGAAAACCAUCUUGAUCACCACUACUCGAAACUUUUUGUUCACUAAUCUCUUGAUAAGCCUUAAACAGCUCACGUUUUCCAAUGUCAUUCCUCGUACGAUUUGUAUGUUCUUUUGUACCUGAUCAGUCUACACUUUUUGGAAAAUUGAUGAAUCUUUUUUGUUUGAUUUGAUGGAUAAUUGUAAUUUGUAUGUAUGAUCAUCGGUUUUUGACAGUUUUGAUCUGAAUCACCCUGUUUUUUUCCUUCACGGAUCAGAUCAGUCUCUAUUAUUUGAUUGUUUUCUUAGUCUCUAUUCUUGUAUUUAUGCCAUCUGAAUACAUUGCUACCUCUUUAGUCUCUCUUCAUGUCUUCAUUUAAUCUGCACCUCUUGGAUUCUUGUUCAUUAUUGUUUACAUACUUGUAAGAUUAGAAUCAAUAUAUAGGCUAGAACAUCGCUAAGUUAGUUAAGAAACACUAUUUAAGUGAUAUUCCACAGUGGUCACAACAUAGACUUGCUAGACGUUAGUGAUUUGAUGUCUUUUGAGUACUGUUAUAAAUCACAGGAAGAUGAACCUGAUAAUGUUGGAAGAAAAAUGUCCAUAUUCGUUGAUUAUGAUUACAAGUAUAGAUAAUGAUGAACUACCAAUGCCUUCUUGAUCCAUUCAAGUGAAGCAAAUGUGGUAUGUGUUAAGACUUUUUGGUGAUUUUGCAGGAAACCACUCGGUAUUAGCAAUCUUCAGAUGGAAAAGAGAAGAAUAUCGAAGCUAUAAGACUCGACUCUCUGAUGCUAGUUGUCUAUUAGCUCUAUUUGCAGUUUUUUUUUUUUUUUUUAAUUGAGUUUGACACUGGAUUAUGAAGAAGACACUAAAACGGUGACUUUAUAUUGUCUCUAUGAACAUGGAAUGCUUGCAGGAGUUUAUUGUGGUGGUUUGAUUACUCUUCCACUUCAGGUUUAUCUGCUUUUCUUUAUAUUUGAAUUUGAGUCUUUGUUAGAAUGUGAAUCCGGCGACUAACUAGAGGGUCCUGAUUUUAACAAACAUUCGGCUUGUGAUUGUGUUUCUCCUUAAGAGAAUUCUCCUGCAACAGUAGCAACUGCAGUGGUAAGAAAAGACAGCGCCAGAGAAUUUUUUUUUAAUUUUUUUUGUUAAAAUGUGAAAUUGAUUAAACGAAUUAAGUUAUGUACAACAAAUAGGCCAGAAAUGACCAGCGAGAAACGAUUAAAAAAGAGAGACACGCCUCUUCAUAAAACAGAGCACCUUUUAACAACUAGAAUCUUAGUUACUUAUCCUCGACUUGAACCAAAGCUGGAGUAGACUCCGGAGUUUCCGGAACUCAAUGUGGCGCAGAGACAUGAUACUGGAACGUAUCAUUUUGUCUACAAGCUGGCCGUGUGAGCGGUGAUGUUGGUUGUGCUUUCUUUGGUUUCGUUCCUGCCAAACGUUGAUUGGAAUGCUAGACGAAGGAUAAUGUAGUUAUUUCUGUCAAAUAUGUAUGUGAUCAGUCGCUGCAGUGUCACGGACCAGUCAGGAUUAGGUGCAGCCUGAAGCAAAUUACCAGCAACCUCCAUCCAGACCAUGUAUGUAUACAGACAGGCAAAGAAUAGGUGAUCGCGGGACUCAUCUGGCUCAUCACAGAGCUAGCAAGGCUGGUAAACAUCAAUCAAACGGCCCAUGGGAGUCCAUUUGUCAAAUCAGAAAUAUGUGUUACGGCCAUUACAGAUUCUGUGGCGUGUAAACUCCACAGCUAGUGAACAGAUUUUCAUUGUACACAAGUUUUAAGUUUUGGUUCUAAAAUUUUGCGUAAAGAAUAUGAAAUAUCUGCCCCUAUGUGGUGGCUGCAGUCUCCAAGGCUCCAACCACAGCCUUGUUCCCUGACAUUCGCAAUCGCUACAACACCUAAGAUUAGCUCUUCUUGUUACUCAAAAUAUUGAUGCAGAGAAAAGAUUUAAGAUGUUAAAUUGGUUUUUUCCUAGAAUUGCAUUGUCUUUUGAAUUGUGGCAUAUCUAGUGUAAUUAAAAACAUUCGAUUUAAUUCACUAGAGCAUAGUACUAUACAAAUUGAAGAAUUGUAUAUGUAUUGAUCACACUUAAUAACUGUGAUCACACUAAAUCUUGCCUUUUCUAUAAGGCAAGUAUACUCUAUCUAUUGUUGAUGAACAGAGUCAUCAUCUUCAUCUUCAAUAUCCCAAGAUAAAUCCUCUUCUUUCUCUACCGCUACACUAACCCGUCUUCGCCAACCCGAUCUCUCCACAAUCCCUUGACCAACCUCCAAACUCCUCUCCUCAUUGCUUCUGACAUGUUCCUCCAUCUUAUCCCACCCAAGAUCUUCAACUUCAGGUAACGAUGGCUGUGUCGAAAUCACCGAAUAAUCACUGUCCUUAGACGAAACCUCUCUGCUCUCUACCUUCUCCUCCUCCAAUACCACAUUCUCUGAACCAAUCUCACUGUCUUUCUCAUCAAGCUCCCAGCUCAAAUCUUCAUCUUCUUCACCAGAAAUAGCUCUCUUCAGAAGCUUAACUCUAGCUUCUUCUACUUGCUCAAGCUUAUUAACUUUAUAAAAAUACCUCCUCCAGAAAGUCUCAGCAUCAACUUCAACAGGAACAAUCUCCUCAUACAUCUCUUUAACAACUUUGUUUCCAUUAAUUAAAUCAACAAUCCCAUUCCUUUUCUCCUCUAACUUAAACCCUAAACUCCAAUUCUCGAAAUCACUUAAAUCGUCAGGUUCUCUGACAAACGUUCCUUUAUCAGAUUGCAUCGCAAGUAACAUCAUCUCAAAACGACUAUAGGGUUUCACAGAAAAACCCUGAUUUGUACGGUCACGAUCCGGUUUUAGAGAUUCCUUACCAUGAGAAAUAAUCUUAGCCGUUGAUUUCCACACGGAGGCGCCGAUAUCGUCGAUAACUUGACCAACCGAUUCGAGAGAUUCCGAAGCGACGGCGGCUCCGAUCUCGAGAGAAUCAGGUAAUCUCGAAGCUACUCGUCGGAUUAUUGAGGUUUCUUUCUUCAAUUCGGAUCCGAAUUCCUCGAAAUCGCGACGGUAGGAUCCGAUUACAGAUUCGGAUUUUGUCGCUAGGGUUUUGAUUAGAUUACCGAAACUCCAUGAAGAUGAAUUUGUGGGUUCAUCGAUAGGUGAAUCGGAUUGUUGUUGAUGAUGAUCCAUGAAGAAGAAGGAAGCUAGGGUUUUUGAGGAAGUUGAAUUUCGUACGAAAACUAGAUUCGGACUUUGUAUAAAUAGCAAUGAAUCGAUGUCGAUGUUACGGUUCUGGUUUAAAAGUCAUAGAAACCGAUGUCGGUGUGUUUUGUAUGAAAUUGAACAUUUAAUGUUAUCGGGUAAGUUAACCGAGUAAUAAAUGGAAAUGUGUACCAAACCGGUUUAAAUUAUUUCAGAACUUUGCCUUUUGUUUUUUACUUGCGUCGCUUAAUAUAUAUAGCUUUAGCUUGGGGUUCUCUAGGUCUCUCUAUCAGCAAUCAUGAAUUCAGAUUCUAUCCCGGUUGAUCUCAUUAUCGAGAUAUUGUUAAGAUUGCCUGCAAUGUCAAUAGCGAGGUUUCGUUGCGUACUUGCGUGUCGAAGCUAUGGUUAUCAAUACUUAGUCGUCCAUGUUUUACGGAGUUGUUCUUGACUAGGUCAUUGACUCGGCCUAGUAUCUUAUUUGCCAUAGAAGGAGACGGUUGGUGGAGCAUAUUCUCGUUGCCUCAGCGUUUGAUGAGUCCAAAGGAGAAGUCGUCGUCGUCUAUGUUGAGAAACAGGAAUGGUCGAAAUAUGCUUACACUUUGUGGGAUGAUAAAUUCUUAGUUGAUGACGACUUUGGUGACAAGUAUCCUUCUGUCGUUGUCGUUGGAGUGACUAGUAUGGGUGAAAUUAUUUUGUCGACGGGCGAUUAUACAAUUGACCAACCAUUUUAUGUUUUCUACUUCAAACCCGAAAAGAACACUCUCCAACGUGUUGCAUUCCAAGGUUUUGGAGCAUGUGACCAACAUAAAGCGUUUACGAAACAUAGAUUUUACACCUUUGUAAACCACGUUGAGGAUCUUAAUGUUAACGAUGCAAAGAUACUCAACUCAAGCAUCUAUGCUCCAUAUGUGAAGAAAGAAGAAGAUGAAGAAGAAUCACAAGGAGAAGAAGAUAGAGACAAUCAUUGAAGUUAGGUAAAAGCAAUUGGCAUUUCAAUUUGUUCUUUUAUGUACUUUUUUUUUUGUAAUUAUUGUAAUAAAUCAAGUUUUGUUAUUAAAAUUCAAUCUCUCUUCAGCUCUAAAUCACGUUUUUAUCACCAACUCUAACAUCCUAGAUUAUUCUAGAACAUUUACUAUAUCCAUUAUCUCCACUGUUACAAUCAAGUUUAAUGGUACUGAAAAUUUUCAAGCCAUCUCUGUGAAGACCAUUGAUAUUCUCUUAUCUCACUACUCAAGCUGGUUUAAAAAAUUGCAACAUAGCGAAUACAGUAACAUAUGUUGCAAUUUUGAUUCUUUACAUUAACAAUGAUUUAUAUUUACUGCCUUUUUGAUGGAGAUGAGCUCUUCUUUUCAUUCUUUGGGGGUCUUUGACUUGAGAUAUCAGGGAACCUAUCAUACAUGGACAAAAUAAUCAGCCUUAUAAUCCCAUAACAAAAAAAGUUAGACAGAAUGCUAGUGAAUCAUUGUUGGUUGACUUUGUUCCCUGAGCGUUUUGCUUCUUUUCUAGAAUUCAGUGGCUAAUGGAAGGGGAUCAGAACACAGCCUUAUAAUCCCAUAACAAAAAAAGCUAGAGAGGCUCAUAACAAGUGGAGUUACCUAAGACAAAUAGAGGAAGCCUAUUUUAAGCAUAAUUCAAUGGCUAAUGGAAGGGGAUUAGAACACAACCCUCUUUCCAUAGAUGUGCACACAAGUCAGAAAACUCCAUCAGGUCCUUAAUCAUGUCGAAUGGUGAACUGGAAACUGAUCCGGUAAGGAUAUGAGUAUAAUGGCCAUUAGCCAUUUCAAGAAUAUCCGAGGCCCUGAUACUCUUCCUUUUAACCUGGUUCAUUGAUCUAAACACAGAGAGGUGCAGCAAUGAGAUGAAACUAUCCAUGAUCGUGUAACUCCAUCUUCAGAGGAAAUUCAUAGGAUGUUAAUGAAGUUAAACAAAAAUAAGUCUCUUGGGCCAGAUGGACUAAGUUCAGGUUUUUUCAAAGCUUCUUGGACAGUUUUCUACCUCAAGCAGCCAAUGCAAUAUGUUAUGUCUUGUCACUUGUGAAGUCACAAACCAUAAGAUAAAAUAGUAAUAUGUUAUGCCGGAUAAGUCACAAACCAUAAGAUACAAUAGUAGUAGAGAAAAGCAUACACGAUAUGAAAUGCCUUAGAGAAGAAGAACAGGAGGUAUGUAGUCUUCCUCUUCUUCUUCCUCUUUAGAAGUCUUGUCUUGUCUUGUUCAAGUCCUCUGUUUCUUGCAUUCUCGCUCUAAUUGCUUCUUCGAGGCCUCAUUCCUAGGUUUGUCAUCAUCUUCUUCUUCUCCUUCUCCUUCUCCUUCUCCUUCUUCUUCUUCUUCUUCUUCUUCUUUAGUCACCUCAUUCCUAGGUUUGUGUUUGAGAUGCGGGAGGAAAUUUUCAAAGCCAUAGCCAGUAGAAAAGCAUACUUCACAAGACCAACCGGGGUCCUCAUCAAGGUGUCCUGAAUCCACUCCACCUGCCAAUAGAAACCUUUCCCAGACAGAGCCUUCUAUAGGAUUGGCGACGAUUGGAAACACCUCAUCCGAUUGUAGUUCCCGAAUAACGGGAACUCGGUUCCUCUCUAGCAUGUCAAGAUAUGAAACGAAGCUCCUCUCACCAGAUAUGAGCAUUAAAUUAUCCCUAGGAGGUUUACUUAGCGAACAGGUGAUCUUCAUUUCAACGCCAAAACAUUUGGUUCGGACGUUACAAAGAGAGACUCCGGAGGAAUAGACCGCUUGUAGGACCCCGGUAGAGACGUCUGUUAGUAUGCCAAUGCCAGUGAUGAAGACACGACCAGAGUAGCCUAAUUUCCUCAACGCCCGUUCAAUACACGGGCCAACCCGACCACCAUCAUAGCCAUAAGGAAGCGGACAGGUGUUCAGGUCCCAAAAGACCCGUGUUGCAGCAUUAUUCGUCGUCCUCAUCAUUCUAAACUUCAAACCUUGCUUAUUAUCGAAUCUGGAACGAUUCAGAGAAAUAGAUGGAGCCACGGAGAGAGAGAGAGAGAGAGAGGGAGAGAGUGGGGAACAAGGUCGCCGCCGUAAUCGAUUCGAUCUCAAAAAAAAAAUUAAAAAAAAAACUUUCUUGAGGUUAUGCAAGGCGAGAUCUUUGGCAACCUGUAAAACUAGAAGCGGCUAGGGUUUUAGAAUGAAUUCUAAUACAAUGACUUUAACUUGAAGACCAAGUUAUACGUUUCCGAAUCUUUCUAAAAUAUAUUUCUAAGAUUUAUCUCUAGAAUAAGGAAAUACAAAAUAUAUACAGUAUAGCCGCUUCUGUCAUUGUAUUUGUGUGUUCAUGAUUUGAAAAAAUCUCUUAAUCAUAUAUGGUAUUAAAAUAUCUUAAUAAUAUUAUUAAACCAUAAACUCUAACAUGAUGCUUCGCCAAUCUCUAUUCCUUGCCGGGAGGGCAAUCUUGUUAUUGGUUUAUUAAUUUAUAAAUCUAUAUAGGAUUUGAAAAUUUUAUUAAUUAUGAAAUCAAUAUAUAUGGAUUUUGAAAUAAUAUGUGUUUAUCCAUGGAUUUGAAUCAUUCUAUUUUUCUCUUUCAAUUCCAUUCAAAUUCAUUUAAAACAUAAUUUGGAUUCUCAAAUCCAAAAACAAAUGACUAAACGAAUAACAUAGGAUUUUAAUUAGUAUUUAUAAAUCAUAGAACCAAUAACACAUGAUUUUAAUUAGGAUUUUAAAAACUAAUUGGGUUUUCAUAGAGAAGGUUUUCAUAGAGAAUGAAUGGAUUUUCAUAGAGAAGGUUUUAAGAAAAUUGGGUUUCUGUGAAAAAUAGAUUAAAUGGAUAAUGUGGUGUAUUACAACGGUCCAAUAUAGAGUUCUCCUUAAUGGACAACCUAAAGGACUAAUAAUACCAGAGAGGGGUUUACGACAAGGAGACCCGCUCUCUCCUUAUUUAUUCAUCCUAUGCACAAAAGUGCUAAUUGCGAACAUUCGAAAAGCUGAACGGGAAAAAUUAAUUACAGGUAUCAAAGUAGAUAAUGCAAGUCCUUCGGUUUCACAUCUGUUAUUUGCGGAUGAUAGCUUGUUUUUUUGCAAGGCUAAUAAAGACCAGUGUGGGGUAAUUUUAGGGAUUUUAAAGAAGUAUGAAGCGGUCUCGGGACAGCAGAUUAAUUUUUUAAAAUCCUCGAUUCAGUUUGGACAUAAGGUAGAUGAUGAAAUUAAGGAAGAAAUCAAAUCUACCUUAGGUAUUACUAAUAUCGGUGGAAUGGGUUCUUAUCUUGGAUUGCCGGAGAGUUUGGGGGGCUCGAAGACAAAAAUCUUCUCUUUUGUCAGAGAUAGACUACAAACAAGGAUUAACGGAUGGUCGGCAAAAUUUUUAUCAAAAGGGGGAAAAGAAGUGAUGAUAAAAUCGGUAGCUGCAGCAUUACCAACCUAUGUUAUGUCAUGCUUCAGAUUGCCAAAAACAAUCACUUCUAAACUUACUAGUGCGGUUGCUAAUUUUUGGUGGAGCUCAAAUGGUGAUUCUAGAGGUAUGCAUUGGAUGGCUUGGAAUAAAUUGUGCAAUAGCAAAUCGGAAGGGGGAUUAGGAUUUCGGAACGUUGACGAUUUUAAUUCAGCUUUACUAGCAAAACAAUUAUGGCGGUUGAUCACGGUUCCGGACUCUCUUUUCGCAAAGGUGUUUAAAGGACGGUAUUUUAGGAAAUCUAAUCCUUUGGAAAAUAUAAAAUCAUAUUCUCCAUCAUAUGGAUGGCGGAGUAUAUGUUCAGCUAGAUCUCUGGUUAAUAAAGGACUUAUUAAAAGAGUCGGAUCUGGGACAUCCAUCUCGGUUUGGGACGAUCCCUGGAUUCCAGCUCAAUUCCCGAGACCAGCAAAAAGUAAUGGUUCAGUUGCUGACCCAUCUUUAAAAGUUAACGAUCUUAUAGAUAGUCGAUCGAAUUUUUGGAAUAUUGAUCUCUUAAAAGCGAUCUUUGAUCCAGAAGAUGUCGCACUAGUAAGCGCCAUACAUGUGGGUGUGCCAACAAAGGAAGAUUCUUUGGGUUGGCAUUUUACAAAAUCCGGAAAAUAUACAGUCAAAUCGGGAUAUCAUAUCAUACGGAUAGAAAAGUCGGAGACCAAUUUACCUGUUUUUGGCCCUGACAUCAACCUACUAAAAGCACAUUCUUGGAAAGUACAGUGUCCACCUAAGAUACGCCAUUUCUUGUGGCAAAUCUUAACGGGUUGUGUACCGGUUACGGAAAAUUUGCGAAAAAGAGGAAUUGAUUGUGACACGGGAUGUGCCAGAUGUGGCGCAGUAGAGGAAACAGUCAAUCAUACACUUUUUCAGUGCCACCCUGCACGGCAGAUUUGGGCGCUUUCAAAGAUUCCUACGGCUGUAGAGAUUUUUCCUACAGAAUCUAAUUUUGCGAAUUUGGAUCAUUUGUUUUGGAGAAUACCUUCAGAAUUUGAUUCAUCAGCCUUCCCAUGGAUUAUUUGGUAUAUUUGGAAAGCAAGGAAUGAAAAGAUAUUUGAAAAUAUAGAUAAAGACCCAAUAGAGGUAUUACGAUUAGCGGAAAAAGAGGCACAAUUGUGGCAAUCAGCUCAAAUUGAGCUCCUUAAUGAAAAUCAUGGUUCUAUGGACUUGGUGACUCGAACUCGAGUGAGAGAUGCUUUACUUGAGUCGAAUUAUUCAGGAUACCGUUGUUUUGUGGAUGGAUCAUGGAAAGAAAGUGAUAAGUUUUCUGGUACAGGAUGGUUCUGUACAUCGUCAAAUGGAGAACCGCCAACCAUGGGAGCUGCGAACCUCCGUAGAAGUUUAUCUCCACUACAUGCCGAAGUCGAAACCCUUCUCUGGGCAAUGAAGUGUAUGAUUGGUGCAGAUCAUCAAGAGGUAGCGUUCUUUACAGACUGUUCAGACCUGGUGAAGAUGGUGUCUUCUCCAACCGAAUGGCCGGCGUUUUCAGUGUAUCUGGAGGAAUUUCAGACCGACUAGGAGGAGUUUUCAACUUUUUCUUUAUCUUUAAUUUCUCGUAGGGCUAAUGUUAAAGCGGAUAAUCUGGCACGAAAAGUUCGUACAGAACCGCUUCAUAUCACCUAUGUAAACAACAUUCCUCAGGAAUGACUCUUUUGAGCUUUAAUUAAUUUCGGAUGACAAAAAAAAAAAUAAUUUUUGUUGUUUGGAUUUCUAAUUCCUUAUAAAUCCACAAACCAAUAACCCCUCCUAAAUAUGGGUGAUUAUCAUAGUCAUGACAAUCAAUAACAUGAUGCUACACUCUUACUAAAUAUUUUACCAAACAUCUUCUAAGAAAUAAUCUAAUAAAGCUCACCAAAAAAAAAGAAAUAAUCUAAUAAAUGUUGACACAAAAAAAGAAAAAAGCUUUUACCUAAAAAAGAAGUCGAUGUACCAUUUGAUCUACGAAAGCAAAUUAAAUUAGUUUAUAAUUAUUAUUCCAUGUAUCAACCAAGAAUACGACCAAAUAAUAUGGAUAUAUGCUAUAAUAAUGGGAUGAUAUCAUAAGAAAAUUUAAUUUUUAUCAUUUACUUGAGAUAGGAUAUUAAUGUUAUCGGUAUUUUUUGACAAAAAGAAAAAUGUUAUCGGUAUUAACCAAGUAAUAAUUGGAAAUAUGAACCAAACCAAUGAAACCCUUUAGUAUAAAGACAAGAGAUAUCACGUGUCUGGUUCAUAUUCAGAACUCUGCGUUUUUACUUUCGUCUCUUGCUAGGGUUUCUCGACGUCUUAAUACAUGGUUUAACAUAUCACUCUCCGUCCGAAUCUGAUCAGCAACAAUGAAUUCAGAUUCCAUCCCAAUUGAUCUCAUUACCGAGAUAUGUUCGAGAUUGCCGGCAAAGUCAAUCGCGAGGUUUCGUUGCGUGUCGAAGCUAUGGUCAUCAAUACUUCGUCGUCCAUAUUUUACCGAGUUGUUCCUGACAAGAUCAUCGGCUAAGCUGCGUAUCUUAUUUGCUAUCGAAGGAGACCGUUGGUGUAGCGGUUGGUGGAGCUUAUUCUCGUUGCCUCAGACUCUAAUGAGUCCAUAUGAUGAGUCGUCAUCGUCUCUUGUAACCGCCAAAUUUAAUAUGGAUUUCCCUCCAGAUCCCAAUAUGCAGAUCGAUCCAAGUAGAGACAAAAAAUUUUCAUGUGGCUAUGCCUCUGGUUUGAUCUAUUUCUAUAGUAUGUGGAUCAAUUUAAAGGAUGAUUACGAUGAAGGGCCUGUGAUAUGUAACCCUAAUACAGGUCAAUAUGCAAUAUUGCCUUCUCUAGAAAGGGGUGUAGAAAGGUUUGAAAAAGCGUUUAGUUUUUUCGGGUUUGAUCCGAUUGACAAGCAAUAUAAGGUAUUGAAGCCUCAUCAAGGUUGUGGUGGCAGUCAUAAAAUUGUUACAUUAGGGAAUGGUAAGGAGGUAUGGGAAAAUUGUCAUAAAAUUGUUACCUCAUCAACCUUAUGAUCAAGGUUGUUGUUGUGACCAUAAAAUUGUGACAUUAGGGACUGGGAAAAUGAGGUGGAGGACGAUCAAAUGUCCCUUACCUCAUGAUCCUGUGAGUGAAGGGAUAUGCAUUAAUGGUGUUUUGUAUUACUUAGGUGAUUAUCAAAACUAUGGUAGGUCUGAUGUGGUGGAUUAUGAAUCAUUGGAUUAUGUGCUAGUUUGCUUUGAUGUUAGGUUCGAGAAAUUCAAGUUUAUUUAUGGUCUAAAAAGCCUUUGUAAAUUGAUAAACUAUAAGGGUAAAUUAUGUGUGAUUUAAUUGGAGGAUAAUCACAUUGGUUGGAAGGAUCAUGUAGACGCCAUUGAAUUGAAUGUGUGGAUUCUAGAGGAUGAUGAUAAACAGGAAUGGUCGAAAUAUACUUACGCUUUGUGGGAUGAUAAAUUCUUCGUUGAUGACGAAAAAUAUGCUCCUGUUGUUGUCGUUGGAGUGACUAGUACGGGUGAAAUUAUUUUAUCAAUGGGCUAUUAUACAUCUGACCAGCCGUUUUAUGUGUUCUACUUCAAUCCCAAAAAGAACACUAUCCAACGUGUUGAAAUCCGAGGUCUUGAAGAAUGUGACUAUGAUCAUUUACGAAACAAGGUUUACACCUUUGUAGACCACGUAGAAGAUCUUAAUGUUAACGAUUCGAAGCUACUCAAUUCAAGCAUCUAUGCUCCAUAUGUGAAGACAAAAGAAGAAGAGAAAGACGAAGAAUAAUUAGAAGGAGAAGAAGAUAGAGACGAUCAUUGGAGUUGGGUAAAAGCAAUGGGCAUUUCAAUUUGUGCUUGUAUGUACCUUUUUUAUAAUAAUUGUAAUAAAUCAAGUUAUAUUUUUUAAAUUCAAUCUCUCUUCAGUUCUAAAUCCCACCAACUUUACCAUCCCAUAUUGUUUCAGGACUUUGCUUAUUUGUACGAACAUUUACUACAUAUAUCCAUCAUCUCCAUUGUUACAAUCAAGUGUAAUGGCAUUGAAAAGUUUCAAGCCAUCACUUUAAAGACUAUUGUUAUUCUCUUAUCGAAUACAGUAACGACUUACAUGUCAAUUUGAUCAUUACGUAGUAACCAAGCUAGUAGGGCUGUUGUAUCAUAUAUACCAGGAUAACUUUGUUUGUGGCAAUGAAAUAAAAAUGUAAAGUGAAGAAAAAUGUGGUGAAUCCUUAUCAUGAUCAAUAUUGUGUAUGAGAAAAAUAUAUGGAGUAUCCUUAUCUAACAUACAAAAAUAUUUAUGUCUCAACAUACAAAAGACGUAUGGACUACCAGUGGCGGAGCCAGAAAUUUUGUUUAUAGGGGUCAUAAAACAUUUAAAAAAUUAUGCCUAAAAAAAAAAUCUUAUUAUAAAUAUAUGUAUAUAUAUAAUUUUUAAACCUAAAAUAUUUCAUAUUUCAUCUUUCAUAUUAAAAAUAUUCACAGUUUAUCUUCUUUAGUUGUAUCAUCAAAACUUUUUUUUAGUUGUUUUUUUUAAAUCUUGAUUCAUGACUUUUAGGAAAAAAAAUUCUAAGAACAAUGUUGAAAAGAAUGUAGAAAUUAAAACAGUAUAUGUCUAAAAAAAAAAAGAAAGCCAAUCACUCAAGUUACUUUGGUGUUUUAUUACUUCUCACAGGAAGCUGGAUGGGGAAAAACGUCUUGGCGCACGAUGACACAACCUGUAUUGUUGUUACCACUGGAAAAUCCGGUGCUUCUUCCGUGACGACGCCUCCAAAAAAGCAAGGAAGAAAGGAAGGAUAUGGAUAUGUAGAACUAAUGUUUGAAGAGAGGUGUGAUUCUCUGAAUUUUUUUUUUUUUUUUUUUACCCGAUCGGCUGAUCCGAUCAGCUCAAUCCCGGGAAUAUCCAAUUAGCCUAAUUUCAGAUACCAUGUGAAUUGCUUGGACUAAAGCGCAAAUCUAAACUUUCCACACAAAUAUAAUUUUUGUUUUUCAGAGUGGAUCGAACCUAUGUUAGUUCCGUCCAACUUUUCUCCAAUUCUUCUUUUCCACUAGAACACAGUCGUGUGUACUAUUCUGUGAAACUUCGGAGUUGUGUAUUGAUAAGAGUGACGUUUGUUUUAUAAAGUUUACAUCUCAAAAACUAAGAGAUCGUAGUUGAGAUAAAUAAGUCAUAAACUUUACAAUAAUCCGUUUUUGUUUAGUUAAUUAUUCACAAUAAAGUUGUCUGCCCUAUUUUAUACAUUUAAUUAUUUCCUCCGCGGCUAUCCAUAUAUAUAUAUAUAUUACUCUUUACUUGUCGAUCACGCUAUAUAGUGGUAACUUAGAUUCUUUACUUGUCGAUCAACAUAUAGUGGUAACUAAAUAUAUUAGCUCGGUUUCUCUAGGUCUUACUUUUUUUUUUUUUUUUUCUCUAGGUCUUACUUAAUACAAGUUUUAACAGAUUUCUCUCCGUUUGAUCAGCAAUCAUGAAUUCAGAUUCCAUCCCGGUUGAUCUCAUUACGGAGAUAUUGUUGAGAUUGCCUGCAAAGUCAAUUGCGAGGUUUCAUUGCGUGUCGAAGCUAUGGGCAUCAAUAAUUCGUCGUCCAUAUUUCACCGAGUUAUUCCUGACAAGGUCAUCCGCUAAGCCGCGUAUCGUAUUCGCCAUCGAAGAAGAUGGUGUGUGGAGUUUCUUCUCGUCGCAUCAGCGUCAGAGUCUAUAUGAUUCGUCUCUUGUAGUAGCCGCCGAAUUUCUUAUCAAGUUCCCUCCAGACAAUAUGCGGAUCUAUUCUCCUAUUGACCGACAAUUUGCAUGUGGCUAUGCCUCUGGUUUGGUCUAUUUCUUUGGUAUGUGGAUCAAAGGGAAGGAUAUUUACCAUGGAGUGCCUGUGAUAUGUAACCCUAACACAGAAAAAUAUGUGACAUUACCUUAUCUGUUAAGGUACAGAAAGUCGUUUAGCUUUUUAGGGUUUGAUCCGAUUGACAAGCAAUUCAAGGUAUUGUUCAUGGCUUAUCCAGGUUGUUCUGAUCAUCAUAAAAUUCUGACAUUAGGAACUGGAAAAAUGAGGUGGAGGACGAUAAAACGUACCUUACCACAUGAUCCUUGAGUGAAGGGAUAUGCAUCAAUGGGGUUUUGUAUUACUUGGGUGAUUAUCAAAGUUAUGUCACUUGUGAUGAAACAUCUGACUGUGUGAUAGUUUGCUUUGAUGUUAGGUCUGAGAAAUUCAAGUUUAUAUACGUACAAAGCUUUUGUACAUUGGUAAACUAUAAGGGUAAAUUAUGUGUGGUUUAUAGGGAUGGUGAGAAUGAUGUUGACGCUAUUGAGUUGCGAGUGUGGGUUCUUGAGGAUGCUGAGAAAGAGGAAUGGUCGAAAUAUACCUACACUUUAAGGGAUGAAAAAUUCUUCGUUGAUGGAUAUUCUUCCAUCGUUGUCGUUGGAGUGACUACUAUGGGUGACAUUAUUUUUUCGAUGGGAUAUUAUGAAUCGAAACAACCGUUUUAUGUUUUCUACUUCAAUCCCGGAAGGAAUACGCUCCAACGUGUUGAAAUCCGAGGUUUUGAAGAAUAUUACGGUAAACAUAGUGUUUACACCUUUGUAGACCACAUAGAGGAUCUUAAUGUUAGCGAUGCAAAAUUACUCAAGUCAAGCAUCUAUGCUUCAUAUUUGAAGACAAAAGAAGAUGAUGAUGAAGAAGAUGAUGAAGAAGAAGAGGAAGAAGAUGAAGAAGAAGAAGAAGAAGAAGAAGAUGAAGAAGAAGAAGAAGAUGAUGAUGAAGCUGAAGAAUAAGAUGAAGGUAAAAAAUGAACAGAUGUUACAUUAAUCUAAUCUAAUUAAUAUCCAUGAGUGAUGGUGGAUCAAAAUACACUAAGAUAGUAAUAAAAGGCUAAUAUAUAUAUAUAUAUAUAUAUAUACACCACGAAAUGGGGAAACAAAAAAGUGGGUGUCUGUACACAACUUAACCUCUCUACAACUGUUUCUACUCUUCCAAACCAAAACAAGGCGAUUCACUACUAUGAUGCAUGAAAAGGUUGGGAUUUGGAAGCAUAUAUAUAGUUGGCCCAUCAGAUACCUUCACGGUAUCGAAAAAGAGGUAACAAGACCAGAGCACGAAUCAUCCACACUAACUACCAUCAUCUGCCCUGCCUAACUCCAUCUGCAAAGUUGAGCAUGCACUUGUCUCAGUUAGUGUCUCUUAACCAAUAUGUUAGCACUGUAGUCAAUGCGAGAUUAAAGGGGGCAAGAUACGGCAGAGAGAAAUUUCACCAGUUGGAACCUGUACAGUGUUGUCAGUUAGUAAUCAUAACCCUCGCAGGAUCUACCACUGCUCGAGCUUCUAGGUUCAUCUCUUUUCGCUCUCAUUCUACCUUUGUAUCAGGAGGCCUCGAAGAUAACUUUUCAUGGACCGUUUCCAGUUCCAGUGUCUUUAGAUAAGGCUGCUGCUGCUGUUCAGAAGGAAUGUGUUUUUGAUUUUGUACAAGCAGCUGUUCUGAUAACUGUGGUUGUCUUUCUUCUAAAGGUGGAUACUGUUGUUGCUGUUGUCUUUCUGUCCCACCCUUAUGGCCAUGACCCGGCGGCACUCCAUCAGGCGAAAGGACUAAUUUUGUUACAGGAUCGCUCCCAGUUGAGUUUGUAAUAGAACUCCUUACUUUAGCAACACCAGUCUGCUCAGAGGAGUCACACGAUUGCAAGUCCAAUUCUUUUGGAAGAGAACUGACAGCAGUAGAAGCAACUGCAGUCGUGCUUACCGAAUUAUUACCCACCUGAGGCACACCUUUUGUUGCACCCAUACUAGCCAAUUGAGUGGUAUUGGUGAUAGACUCUGGAUUGCGUGGGGAAUGUUCAGCCUGAGACUUCUUUGAUGAGUCAUGAUUUUGAUGAGCGGUUCUAUGAGAUGUUGGCUGCAAUUGAUUGACCUGCUUUUGGUGUAGCAGCAAAUGUUGGUGGUUGGGUUGUGCGACUGCUGGUGUAACAGACGGACUAGAGGUGGACAAAAUGUUACCUGAUACCUCUGCUGAAUUCUCGCCUUGGAUGCUAUCAUCUGAAUGUAAUUGCCUCUGUUGAUGUUGGGACGAAAGAGAUGGAGCACCAGGAAAUGUUUUUGGCUUUUGUUGGGAAGUACUUGAAUACUGUGGAGGAUUCAAAGGUUUAGACUGUGGAUAGAAGCUCACGGCAGUCACUGGGUUAGACGGCUGUCCAGGCACAGGUUGAACUGUUGCCUCUACUUUCUCACUACCCUGUAUUCCCUGGGUCAUAUUAGAACCAUUCAACUGUGAGGGAUCAACAGAGAAGCUCUGAUGCAUAAUGUUUCCUCCUCCCAUUCCCUUCAAGAGUCUAUUCUGCUGCUGACCUUGAGUUGGUUGCCGCUGGUGUGGAUGUUGUCUUCCAGAUUGCUGCUGGAGUUGUCGCUGCCGCUGUUUUCCACCUUGAUUGUUUACUCCAGAAGCAGUAGACAGAGGAUUCCUAGCCAGACCAGGAACCGGAAACUGCGGUUUUUGAGGCUGCUGCUGCGCAAUUGCUGUCAUAUUAGGAGAGGUUGACGACAGAGGCAUCGAUAAUGACUGAGAUGGAGUAAGUGGUUGCGUUUGAGGACUGUUUUGUGGAGAAGAAGAUACUGGAGGAACUUGAUGCUGUGAUUGUACAUUUGGCGGCAUAGUACUAGAUGCUGGAAACUGCUGUUGCUGCUGCUUCUGCUGCUGCAAAAAGCGCUGGUGCAUUUGUCUUUGACGGAUAGCAUAUGCCUGCUGUUGUGUCCCAGCUGCAUGAUUAGGACUCUGGAGAUGAGUCUUAUGUGGGUUGCCAAGAACAUGUGACUGUUGCGACAACUGAUGCUGAUGGGAAAGAUGACCUGGGUAGGCCUGACCGGGAGAAGUUGUUUGGUUGGUAAAUCCAGAACUCAAAGCUGGAAUCCCCUGACCAUUCCCUUUGACAGCCUGCAUCAGAAACUCAUGCAUAUCAGAAGCGCUGAACAUCCAAAACUUAAACAAGGAGCCAGCUAUAUAUUCAUCAGACAUAUCAAGCUAAAUCAAGGGAAAAAUAGCUUACCCGUACCAUAUGCUGCAUAGUUCCACGAGGCCUCAACGUGGAGUUUCCUGGAGAAGCACUCCCUACAGGGUUAAUAUUUCCAGUAUUGGAAAUUCCUCCCAUGCCACUGUUUGGCACUGCCAAUGAGCUCACUCCUUGAAAACCAGGCCUUGACAAUGGUGUGCUCCUAUUGAUUCCAUUCCCACUCAUAGCAUUUCCACCAGGUAGGCGAUGCCCAAGAUCGGGUCCUGAGACUGCUCCAAGAGUUGAUAAAGAAGGCUGCUGCAGGUUUCUACCGGAUAACAUCUGACUAAAUUGUUGGAUUCGGUGUUGUUCAUCUAGUGGCAAAGAUCCUCUAGGAAGAUUGAAUCUACAUCCCAGAAAGGAAAUUUUUUUCAAUCAGCUACCAAAAGAAGAUAUUUAAGCUGAGAUGCGCAAAUGUAUGCAUUCAAACCAGACAAAUAAAGACCUUGGGGAAGCACUGGUUGGGCCAGAUAUGGUUGACAAGUUGUUGCCAGGGACUACAUCAGAUGAUCCAGGUAUUGACGGAUUUGCUUCAGAUGCAGGAAGGACUGACGUUCCCUGGUUUAACAUUGGUUCAAGCGAAAAUAGAUCUUGACCUGAAGUUGAGGCAUCACAGAGAUCAAGGGGCCUUCAUCCGGAGAGUAGCAACGUAUUAGAAUUGUGAAAAAGGUAAGUAAUCAGGAGAUACAUAAAUCGUAAGAAACACCAAAAACUUACGUGAGGACACCUCCAUUCAGAUUAUUUGGGAAUACAUGAGAAAGAGCCAUAACUUGAGAAUUGUGAACUGGUACUAUCUGCUUGGGAUCCCGACCAUCAUUCUUGAAAGUAGAUGAAACGGCAGCAAACAUACAGAAGCAGCAAGGAGAAACAGAAUCAGGGCCUUUGGAGUUUCAAUAUACAAACUCUAGUACAGAGUUCAAAAUACAUCUAUGAAUGGAGAGAUGCAGACUGUUAUGUCAAAAGCAACAGAUGCCUUUCUCAAAGAAGAUGUGCCGGAUGUCCAAAAUAGGCAAAAACAAGUAAACAGCCCCAAGGAAAAUACUUGCAAGCUGAAUUUAGUGUACUCGAAACCAAAAGAGCACUGACGGCACUCUCAGAAACAAUAAGUUUUACAUAAUUCUGGGAUGUACCAAUUUUCUAUAACAAGUUUGGAAGAGGUAACAAGUGGGUGAACGGACCUGUAUCUUUCUAUGUUGGAACUUCUUCCCAAUCGAACAAAUCUUCUCAAAAUGGGACUUCAGUGUAUCUUCUUCGACCGGCCCUUGCAGACGUUGAAACAACUGUCUCGCACUUCCCUUAAUAUAACAAACAAUUCCAGGAAAACCACGGGUUAAACUAAACACAUGGGAAGCUUUAAUUCAGUAUCUCAUGGAAAAUGAAAACCUUAGGGAUGCCAGGCAAACUGGAUGGAUAAGACUGAGAAUUUCCUGAGUCUUCAGCACUAUCAGCCCCAUCACCACCAGUUUUAUCCAUUAGAUUCUUAUGCCGCUCCUUGCACUCACUCGGAUUGCGAUAUAUACACUGUAUGAGUAAGAACGGGGAUCAAAGAAUAGUCAAAUUAAUAUUCCAGUCUCAAACAACAUUUCUAGCACCAUGGAUAGGUGAAGCAACAUAUCCCAGCCCACUGUCUUACUAGUAAUAAAGCAAGCAAUAAUUUGCGCAACAAAAUCAAGCGCAGUCAUUCACAAGUAUAGAAGCGCGCAGUAUUCAGUAAAUUAUUCCGCACUGUAACGUCUCAAGAAACUUCAGAACAGCACACUCUUACCUUAAUUUUAAUAGUGCUGUUCAUAGCAUCACUAAUGAACUCCCAGUUAGGGCCCAUGUCAUGGACCAGGACAACAAGCGCCUAAAUGGUGGAAAAAAUAAUUUAGAUAUUCACAAUGCAACCCACGAUAUAUAUAUAUAUGUGUGUUAAGCAGAGAUAACAAACAAAAACCUGAUCCUCAAAUAGUGCCCAUGGAUUUUCAGAUCCUUGUUGGCCAGAAGAAAUCUGCAUAAAUAAAGUUUCUAAUUUCAAGACAUAUUUUAAACCAAACAAGAUGGUAAAGGAGUGAUCAAAUCACCAGAGUAUAUACCUUCAAGCCUUUUAUUUUUCUGCCCCUGUCCCGACCUCCAAUAAAUUUAAUAAAUUUGUUGGGGUUGGACAUAUUGCUCAUCUGAGACGCGGCUGGAGAAGGAAUAGCACUAUCAAAAUUAUUCUCCACUGAUUGCUUGGCAGUCUUUUGCUUCUUUGAACUAUGUGGACCAUACAGACCUUACAAAAUACAGGAAAAAAUGUCACUACGAUAAAAAGAAGCAUGGUCACUAAAGAGAGGCUAGAUGCCAAUAUAACAUUGUAGCCAUGAAAUUUCCAGAAACAGUUGAAUUAUUACCAUAUCAAAACAUUCACUUUCGGGUUCAGUCAUGGUAAACAUUGUGUAUUUUUUAUUCUGUUGUAAACAAUUGUGCAAAAAUGAUUACUCCUAACGUAAUGAUAUUCUAGUUACAGACUUAGUCCGAUUCAUAAAACAGAUGUGAAGCUUAGGUAUCCCCCGGUUGAACCUGACUUCUAAAGACCUAACUCAUGCAGUCAUGCAAAAAAUGUUAAAAGUGGAUACUUGGAUGAUACCAUUUGUAUUGAAAUGAUUCUCCGGUCGCUUCCUCCAGUGGUCCUGUCAAAAUAAGGAAGCAUUAGAAUUAUUUCCAAGUUUAAUAUCUCUUCAACGUAUACAAUUUACCUACACAAUAAAAUAAAACUUGCAUAAAACUUCCCGUUUCAAGGAAUAAUACUGUCAGUGAACACGAUUCCGAGAUGAAAAAUGGAAACAAGAAUUUCAAUCCCAAGAGCAGCUUACUCUUACAGGUAUCAAACAACCCAAUAUAUAGAACAUUAGACAUUUCAAUAAGCGAGUCACACACCAAACAUCGCCAAACAAACUUCUGUGACGCUACUUUAAAAAAUUUCUUGACAUUGAAUUUCAAAAUCUUUUACCAGCAAUAUUACCUGUUCACCAUGGACCAUUGAAUCAAGAUGCCAACCUUGUUCAUCUGUAGAACCCUGCAACAAAUGAUAAUUGCAUAUUAACAUGCAAGGCCAGAAGUAAUAACAAUAUUUUCCAUAAACAUCAAGCCAGAUAUAUGUUAAAACAUAAUGCAAACCGGAUGAACCUUCUUCUUUUUCGGUUUUCCUGACGUUUCAGCCAUGUCAUAAGGUAGCUGCUUCUCAAAAUUACCACUAGAUUCAACCUCUGUGCCUUUUUGAACCGCAGAACCACCAUUCAAACUACUUUGCUCAUCCUGAUAAGAACUAGUGUCUCCACUAGAGGCAUCUGUCUUUGAGGGCACAGGUAAAGUUCCAACAGUGCCACAGCCAAAAUAACUCAUACCCCUCUGCCUGGAAAGAGUGCGCAUGCGCUUCGAUGGAACUGAACCAACAUUGAGAUUACUGGCAGGCCUUUUGCCCAUCAAUGCAGUGGAACCACCAGUGUAGCUACCGUAUGGUAAAUCAGCCCCAACAUCAUAUGACCGAGCAGAAUGAUACUUCAUCGAAUUCUUCUUUCUCUUGUGGGUUAACUUAAAUGAUUUGCUACAUUCAAGAGCUCCAGGUAGAUGAUAAGUACUUGUUUCUUCUUCAUCCUCAUCAUAACCAUUGUAUUCUGUAUCUACAGUUAAAAAUGAAUUUAGUAAACAUCUAUCCAGUACGUGGAGCUCAACCAAAUAUGUUCUGCAUACCUUCUGCGGGAUCAUAGGCUGAUGUCUCAACCUCCUCCUGCAGGCUACUUCCGGAUUUCUGGGACAGGAAAUGCUUUUAAUUAUCUUAAGAAAUCAAAUAUGUAUGUGUGUGCUUAUAUAUAUAUAUUCACAGGCAAUACACCCAAUUAAGGCCAUGACAUUAGAGCUCGUAGCAUUAAAUACUCUCACAUACCUCAGACCCGAGAAGAUGACAUUCAAUGGACCUUCGGUAGGCCUCCAUUGCACCAGAUGGAACUGAAUAAAAUAAGUUUUCCUGUACAUUAAAAAGCUUAGUUUGCAACGUUAUAGAGUUAUCCACAACACUAGCAAUGAAAGGCUACAGAAAGACCAUAUGACUAGUUUCAUACUUCUGUAAGCUGAUCAUCCCAAGAUGUCUCCAAUAUGCCAGGGUCACACAUAUUGUCAGGUGUCGACGGUGCUGCUGUUUGAAUAUGGGUGGCAGAAGAUUUGACAAACUUCAAAAAUCUGCGUGCAUAUUCAGUGACACCAGAAGCUGGACAUUUUUUGCCAUUAUCAUACUUCAACUCCUUCCUUGUCUCCUGCAUAUGAUAACAGUAUUACUUGGCUAGAUACCAAAAAAGGAAUCAUCAAAAGUGUAACAAGAGAUCAACAAAACCAGAGAAAGCUCUUAGACUUGGAAGGAAGACUAUUCCAAGAAAGUCUGAUUCAGCGUCACAUUCAUGGAGGAAAAUAAACAUAAAAUAAUGAGUCAAGCUUAUUGUACUGUCCCAAACUUCAAGAUAUGGUAUCACUACUGUAUAAGUAUGUAUAUGUGUGUGUGUGCGCAGGCCCAAUGAAAAGAAAGGCCAAAAUAUGACCAUCAGUACCAUUAAAAAACCAUAAGAGAUAGAUAUGUAUGGCAGACGUAUACCUUAUCAGUUCCCACGCUUGUCUUUUCAAGCUCCCUAGGAACAUCCACGGAACUCCAGAACUGUAAGACAGAAUUAGCUAAGCUUGAAGCUAAGCCCUUAAGCUUUCUGUGCUGAAUUUGCUCCUCAAAUUUCAACUGAGAGGUAAAAGCAGCUCGAUGACAAAUCUGCAUGGCAACAGUCAUCUUCCAAAGACGCUCCUAGAAUUAGAGAAGUAAAGGAGAGGUUAAACAGAAAUGCAAUCGGUUGACUUGGAGAAAAAGUUUCCAGUAACAGAAACAAAAAGGCUAACAACAUUCAUAGAGGAAUCACCAUACGCUCUUAGUAAUAACCAGUGUGACAAUCCAUAAAAUGAAUAAUUUUCCAUUUAAGUAGAUAAAAUGAGAUCAGAAAGCUGAUCAACUAAACCAGACCUGUGCAAAAUCAUUUGCCAGCCAUGUCAUUUCCUCAAGGACAAAGUCCCAUUGAUAUCUCGUACGAACUUCCACUGGUAUGGUACCAAAAGAUAACUCGGCAAUGCUCUUUCUCUUUGCCUGUUAGUGUAGUAUGUCAGACAUAAAAGGCUAUGAACAAAAAAGUAAUUAAACCUUCUUCCAAAGCUUGACAGGUUAAGAUCGACAAGCCAAGUUUUGAAAGAGAACCUUUAUACUCCAUGCUUCCUCAAGGAUAGAGUCCUCCUUCAAAGUAUCUAGCAUUCUUGAGCCACCGUCUAAACUAUGCUGCUGUAAUACUGUAAUGCCAGGUCCUGACAAUAAGUUUUGGCUACUUAUGGAAGUACUGGUUUCUGCAGCUGUCUGUGAUUUUUUAGGGCACAAAGAACUGUUGGAAGUGUCAGCCAAUCCACUAGUAACUUUCAUGUCAGUUUGCAAUAUAUCUAAGUCAUCUUGUUGUUUCCUCUCAGUUUCAGAGCACUUCUUUUCAUUAUGCAGAUCAACUGCACUUCUAUGAUCUUGACUUUCGACUUUAAGUGAUUGUGUUUGGCUUUGAUGCCCAGAAUUUUGCUCACUAAUAAUGAUGGUAGAGUCACCAGCCUCGUCUUCAGUCUUUGUAUUCACCAUUUCACCAACUGUUGGAUUCAGUAUCCCCUCUACUCUUGAAGCUCUCUCAAUAGGGAUUCUGUUGGUGUCAGAUUUGUCCACUCUAUCGAGAUCUAUUUUAGUAUCUACAUCUACUUCAUCGUUGUUAGCAUGAGAGGACUCUUGAUCUAACCCUUUUCUCCCUACAGUUGCAGUAUUUUUUAAGAUUUCUUUCUCUCCUCGGGGAUCCCGAAGGCCAUUCACUUGGGUGGAGUUAGUUUCCUGGCUACCUGCCAUUUCAGCACUGAAAGAAUUGGCUACUGUACUAGCAGAGACAGUAUGUGCUUUCACCCCAGUAAGACCAGUCCCUCUGGAAGCCAAAUCUGCAGAACUUUUUCUAUACACAAUAUCUACUUUCUCUUUCACUGGACUGUUUUUUGUUCUUGCAGUGCUUUCUCGUACAACCAGUCCAUCAUCCUCUGUCUUUAACAAACUGGUUGAGAGGAAGUUUUUUAAAAUGAUAUCACCAUUGGAAGUUGCAGAGUUUGGACAAGAUACUGAAGAUGCAUGUCUAUUCUUAUGUUUGCCUGCUUCGGAAUCGGAACCCUUUACAUCCACAGAUUCUCUGCGAAUUGAGAGUGAUGUGGCAAGACCACCACGACUCGGAACUAACUCCGUAGAACUUGACCGAGCAGGAUCACGAUUUAUCUUUGAUCUGUUUCUACGAGCAUAUGGGCGAAAAAUGGCAGAAUCUUCUGUUUCCUUAGUAUUCUGGAAAUUGUUCGCUUUGACAGACCGUUCCGAUUCUGAAGUUCUACUUCUCUUAUUAGGAUAUUUUGAAUCUCUUUCUCCUUCAAGUGACUUAGUUUCAGCAUCAAACAGUAAAAGAUUAUCAGCUGUAUUGGGUUCAGAAACUAUUGAAACUCCAGGCCUACCACUACUCUCCACAGAAUCCCCAUGUUGUGAGGCAGUCCGGGGAAAACUAUCCUUGACUUCACUGUGGUGAGAACGGGAAAGAAUCAUAAGUUGAUCUAUGAUAUCUAGAAAAUUCUAACAGGAAAAAUUACGGCAAACAAGAAAAAUACCUCUUUACAAAUUGAUCUGCUUGCUUAUCUGUGAGUGACGUAGAUUGAACGCUAUGUGAAGCUGCAUUACCAAACUUGAAAUCCAAAGGAUUCCCACCCUAAAGUAGAGAGAAUAGUAAGGACUUGUUAUAUAAUAAGUCUCUAAAAGGAAACAGAAAAUGGAAAAUAAAUUUUCAUACUUUCUCCAGAAACUCCAAUUCUCUCCUCCUUUCCUCACGGACAUCAUACUCCUGCCUAUAAAAACAAGUGAUUUUCGUUACUCAACAGAAACGAUUAGCAGCUGAAGAAAACAUGUGGCAAUCCCCGCAAUAUACCUUAGUUCCGCUUGAGCCUUCUCAAUGGCUACUCGACGCGGAGAUGAUUUGACACCAAUCCCACCUCCACUAUCAAUAACUCCUCCCAUGGAAUCAAACUAGGCAUUUACUAAAAAGAUAUCCUGAAACACUUCCAUGCAUCACCACUUUCACUGUCCCAUUAUAUUCAAACUCUUAACUAUAAACAGAAAUCAUCACAAAGCCAAGAAAGUGUUUCAUUAUCUCCCACAAAAAGUCAUAGCAACACCAUAUAAGUAGAGAUUAUAAAGUUACAUUAACACAACAAGAGCUAGAUAUAGAAACAGCAUUAAAUUUGAAGCCAGAAGCUCACUAGUAAACAGAAAUAGGAACCAAAACUUGAAAUUUAAUCAGCUGAGAUAUCAAAAGAGCACAUUUUUAACGAAUUUGCGAGAGUUAAGAGAAGAACCCAAAGUAGAACCCCAAAGACUCAAGCUUAAGAAAACCCAAAUUGAAAGGAGCUAAAACGUUAGGGUUUUGGAUGAAGGAAUGAGCAAAAGGGUACCUGAAUUUUGUUUGGAUGUACGAAAACGCAAACGCAGGAAUUAGGGCACAAAAAAAAAAAAAAAACUUUGGGCAAUCACAAAUCAAAAUUAGGGCUUCUUCUUCCACAACAAAUUCGUCGAAUCGAAGAAGAGAAGCGAGAAAUUUCUUCGAGAAAGCUCUUCGUGAAUUGGAAUUUUGUAAAUUUCAAUCUCGAAAAAAUUGCAAUUUCCUUUUAAUUUUUGUUUCCCUCUCAGAGGAAAUUUUUGUUUGUUGUCGUGUUCGUUUUUUUUUUUUUUCGCUUCCUUUGAUGCAACUAUGCGACUCUCGCUCGCUCACUUGCUUCUGAGUAUUGGGCCUGGGCCUUAGUCAUUGUUCUCUUUUGGGCCCUUUGUACGAGUCUCCCGAGGCCAGAGACAAAAAAAAACAUAUUUAAGUGGAUAUUUUUGUCACUUAACAUAUUUAAGUAAGUUAGCUAUUUUCUUUUGAGUAAUUCUUAUUUCAAAAGGCAUGGAAUACUAUUAAAACAAUGAGUCUCAUAUGUGUGGUGGAGCUUGGAUUGUUAGGAACCACCAAGUAAAUGCAGUUUUCCAUGCGCAAGAAAUGUUUCUACCCGCUUCAAAUCGUAUCUCUGCGGAAUUAAGAGGGAUCCUUUGGGUUCUACAUAGUCUUUCUGACUUGCAUUUGGAUAAUAUUGAGAUAUGGUCUUAUUGUAAUGCUGCAAUUGAUGCCAUUAUUGAUCCCUCAAAUUGGCCAAGGUAUCACUCCUUCCUUGACAAGAUACAUCGGCUAAUAUCAAGUUUUGGUAAAAUAGUGUUUAAGGUGUCUUCUACAAAAGCUAAUGCGAUCGCAAGAGCUAUUGCUGCGAGUGUCACAAGUGAUGGACGGGUCAAUCUUAUUUAGCUAGUGGCGGUCCGGCUUGGCUAUUUUCACGUAUUGAAGAGGAAAGGAGAAGAUGACAUAGUUUGGAAGUCUUUCAUAAUCAUUUAUGCUCUGUUUUGUGGAGCUCUGUUUCUUAUGUUGGCAUGUUUUGUUUCUUGACUUUUAUACGUUUACUUAUUCUUAAUAAAAUACAUUAGACGGCAAAAAAAAAAAAUACUAUUAAAACAGAUUUGACUGAUUGGUCAACUCGUUUUUACAACAUGAGGUUUUGAAAACGAUUAAAUACGAUAAUUAUAUGUCUAAUUCCAAAAACGGAGCAGCAACGUACACAGAUUAUAGAAUUGAGAUCCAUCAAUCUAUGCAAUGUUGGGUAUAAAAUUAUUUUUAAAUAUCUUUGUCAAUGACUUAAAACGGUUCUACCGUCUCUUAUUUCAGAAACAUAGUGUGCUUUUGUUGAAGGUAGACUAAUUUCGGAUAAUAUACUUAUAGCGCAAGAGGUGUUUCAUGGUUUACGUACAAAUUCAACUUGUAAAGGAAAAUUCAUGACGAUAAAAACAGAUAUGAGUAAAGCUUACGAUCGGGUCGAAUGAGAUUUUAUCAGACUUUUACUAAAGAAAUUGGGAUUAUGUGAGAAAUUGAUCUCUUGGAUGAUGUGGUGCAUAACUUCACUGCAAUGAAAGGUGCUUAUAAAUGGACAACCUAAAGGUCUAAUAAUAUCAAAAAGAGAUUUACGAGUGGGUGAUCCACUUUUUCCAUAUUUAUUUAUUCUUUGCACGAAAGUGAUAAUUACAAACAUCAGAAAAACGGAACAGGAUAAGUUGAUUAUUGGCAUAAAAGUGACAAAAGCAAGUCAUGUGGUAUCCCAUUUGUUAUUUGUGGAUGAUAGUUUAUUUUUCUGUAAAGCAAACAAGGAACAAUGCGGAGUUAUUUUAGGUCUCUUAAAGCAAUAUGAAGACAUUUCAGGGCAACAAAUAAAUUUUUCUAAACCAUCGGUUCAAUUUGGACAUAAAGUUGACGAAUCUAUAAAGGUAGAGCUUAAGGCGACAUUGGGUAUAACAAAUAAUGGCGGCAUGGGGUCUUACCUAGGCUUACCAAAAAGCUUAGGGGGAUCCAAAACGGAAAAAAAAAAAUUUCGUAAGGGACAAAUUACAAAAUAGGAUUAACGGCUGAUUAGCAAAAAAUUUAUCAAGAGGCAGUAAAGAGGUGUUGAUUAAAUCGAUGGCUGUUGCAAUUACCAACUUAAUGUAUGUCAUGCUUUCGACUGCCAAAAACAAUCACAUCUAAACUUACAAGUGCGGUGGCUAAAUUUUGGUGGAGCUCCAAUGGCCAAUCAAGAGGUUUGCAUUGGAUGACCUGUCAUCUAUUAAACAAACAAGUAGGACCUCUUGAUGGUUUAAUAACAAAAAAGGGUUUUGUUGUUCUUUGUGAAGACUCAUGCUUGGGGAAUAAGUAGUUUCUUAGUAAUUAGGUGAAAAAAUUUGCAUAGAAACUUGCUUUCUUAAUGAAUAUGUUGCAAAUAUAUAUUGGUAUGGUGUCUUGCUUCUUCUUCUCUUUAUCUUAUUAUGUGAUGUUCUCCUUAUCUUAUUAUGUGAUGAUAUGUUAUCUUUUUACUAUAUGGUUUAUAAAAUUAUAUUAAACAAACAAAAAAUUUUUUUAAUAGGGAUAUCUACACUAAUUUCUUUAACAAAGAAAAUGUCUUUACCGACUUGUCGAAAAAACCUUCAAAGUUAUGUAACAGUAUACUAAUUUUUAUUUUAGAAAUUUAUAUAGACUUUAACAUAUUUUUACAAUAUUUUUGAUGAACUUGAUUUGAAAUAUUUUACUUUAAACAUAAUUUGGGAGGUUUUUUCAAGUUUUCCAAUAAGAUUUGUUUAAAAUUAGAUCGGUCACUACACUAUUAUUUAUUUUUCCAAGUUUUAUUAAAACCAAGGUAUUUACUAAAAUUUUCAGUCAAUACUAAAUAUUUGUUUUGAAAAACUUGUUACAUUUAGGAAAUAAAUCUUCUGAAAACCCUAAGAUUAAAAACUAUUGCUCCUCUUAUAUAAAUAUACACCUCUCCCAAUUCUAAAACAUAACCUUAAUUAAAUCAUUUGCUCCGCCUCCGAUUUCUCUUUUGCCCUUGCAGCAACCAAAGGACAUGACGACGGCGUUCGAGAAAGGUCCCCACUAAUCUCGAGACGAGGUAUUUCGUGUUUUACUCGGAAAAAGGUAAUACUCUCAUAUCAUCAAACUCUUUCAAUUUUCAAGAUGUUUGUUUUUUGUUUAUUGGAUUGUGGAUAGAUAUGAGCAUAGAUUAGUUUAUUUGAAAUUUUGGGAUACCCAGAUUUAAUAUCGACGGAUCUGUGAAACAACUAUCCAGAUCCAGAUCGACCCAAUAUUUGCGAUUAUCUAGAUCCACAAAUAAAUAGAUCAAAAAAAUAAUGAUAACAAUUAUCAUUCAUAUUAAAUAUCUAAAUAUCCGAAUUGGAUCCGCAAACUCUAGAAACCUAUUUUUGGAAUCGGAUCGGAUCUUGGAUCCAUGAUAUUUUGCAUGUCCCUUAUUGUGGAAUGUUGAUGAUCUUGCAAAGCUCAUUAUUUUUGUCAAUUUUAUUUCAUCGUUGGUUUGAAGCAAAAAAAAAAUCGAUUUUGCUUGAUUUAUGAUGUCCUUGAUUUAUAGUUUUUUUAAAAAAAAAGAAAAUUGUGUAUAAAUAUUUUCGUCGAGCAAUAUAUCUGACAUUAAAAAAAUUGUAUAUGAUAUCUACUAUUUUAUUUUAUACAUGAAAUAGCUAAACUUUUCGCAUUAACAUAAGAAAAUUAAAUAUAUAGGAACCAAGCUAUAUUUUUACCGAAAGAGUUUCACUAAUUUUUAAAUUUGUUCUUUGCAAGUGGGUGAGCUUUGUCUUAUUUAUUCCGUCAAUGUCGUUCCCGGAGAAGAAGAGGAAGACGGCCACAAAGAAGCCGUUACUUAAGCCCUCGCUCACGUUGCAAUCAACCCCAAAUCCUCCACUUCCCCUUCCCGAUGAUUUGCUAUUGAGCUGCUUCGCCCGCGUCUCAAGAUUGUACUACCCAACUCUCUCCCUCGUCUCUAAAAGCUUACGAUCUCUCAUUACUUCACCAGAACUUUACAAGACUCGAUCAGUCCUUAACCGUACUGAGAGUUGUCUCUAUGUCUGCUUAAAGCUCCCAUCUGAUGAUAACCCUCGCUGGUUCACUCUCUGUCGGAAGCCAAAUCAGUCAAGAAAGAAAAAGAAGAAGACAAGUGGUAAUAUUUUGGUUCCAGUCCUAUUUCCCCAAUCUUCUCCUCCUACGCACGCGGCGAGUUUCGUCGCUGUUGGUUCUGAUAUCUACGAAAUUGGUGGUCUCAUCAACGACGUACCUUCCUCUAACGUCUCGGUCUUGGAUUGUCAUUCUCUUUCAAGAAACCAAGCUCCAAACAUGUCGAUGGCCAUGGAAAAUCCCGCAGCCUAUGCUAUUGAUGGAAAGUUAUGUGUUGUGGAAGGCUCCAACUAUAAAGAUUUUUUCGAUCCGGAAACCCAAACUUGGAAGCCUGAGAACCGACCUCCUUUUUCUUUAGCCCCGCCAGAGGAAUAUUUACGUGAAUAUCGAGGACGAAAUCUAUGGAUUCGUCGGCAUGGGACAUCGUUUUGUGGUUGCAUGAUAGAUAACGUGUAUUGGUGUUAUAAAGACGGACAGUUCGAAUGGUAUGACGCUUUUAAAAGUGAAUGUAGAAUCUUGAAGGGUAUGGAAGGACAACUGCCUAAGUUGACUAGAUCUUGUGAUGUUCAAUUGGCGGAUUAUGGUGGAAAGAUGGCGGUUUUAUGGCACAAGCAUGAUCGUUCUAGCAAUGAUAAGGGAAGGGUUAUAUGGUGUGCAGAGAUUGCGCUUGAAAGGCGUAGUAGUGAAGAAAUUUGGGGGAAGGUCGAGUGGUUUGAUCAUGUGCUUAAAGUCCCCAAGUUGUUUAGGUUCGUGUGUGUUCUUGAUCCUACUCUUUGAUGAAUGGCAACUGAAACAUGUGUUGGAAUCAAUCACUCAUCGGUAAAGUAUCAUUAUGUUUUCAAUGUGAUGUAUGAAUUGUCUCGUGUUUAGCUUGGUUUUAUAUUUGUAAACUUGUAGUCGCAUUUUGAACUUUAUUGACAUUUUUAAUGCUUAGCUUUAUGUUGUGACAAGCUUUAUGUUGUGUCAAGUGACUACUAAGCUUAUGCACUUAUACAUAUUUGAAGAGUUCAUGAAUAUUGUUUCGUCAUCUAUUAAACAAACAAGUAAGACCUCUUGAUGAUUUAAUAACAAAAAGGGGGUUUUGUUGUUCUCUGUGAAGACUUGGGGAAUAAGUAGUUUCUUAGUGAUUAGGUGAAAAAAGUUGCAUAGAAACUUGCUUUCUUAAUGAAUAUGUUGCAAAAUAUAUUGGUAUGGUGUCUUGCUUCUUCUCUUUAUCUUAUUAUGUCAUGAUAUGUUACCUUUUUAUUAUAUGGUUUAUAAAAUUAUAUAAAACAAGCAAAAUGUUUUUUUUUUCUUUUAAUAGGGAUAUCUACACUAAGUUCUUUAACCAAGAAAAUGUCUUUACCAACUUGUCGAAAAAACCUUCAAAAUUAUUAAUCGUAUAUUCAUAUAUUUUUAUUGUAGAAAUUUAUAUAGACUUUAACAGAUUUUUACAAUAUUUUUGAUGAACUUUAUUUGGAAUAUUUUACUUUAAACAUCAUUUGGGCGAUUUUUUCAAGUUUUUCUAUAAGAUUUGUUUAAAAUUAUAUCGGUUACUACACUAUUAUUUAUUUUUCCAAGUUUUAAUAAACCAUAUUCUUUACUAAACUUUAAGUCAAUGCUAAAUAUUUGUUUUGAAAUUUUUUUACAUUUAGGAAAUAAAUCUUCUGAAAACCCUAGAGAUUAAAAGCUAUUGCUCAUCUUAUCUCUCCCAAUUUUAAAACAUAACCUUAGUUAAAUCUAUCUGCUCCGCCUCCGAUUCUUUUUUUGCCCUUGCAACAACCAAAGGACAUGACGAUGACGUUCGAGAAAGGUCGUCACUAAUCUCGAGACGAGGUAUUCCGUGCUUUACUCGAAAAAGGUAAUAAUCUCAUAUCAUCAAACUCUUUCAAUUUCUCAAGAUGUUUGUUAUUGUUUAUUGGAUUGUGGAUAGAGAUGUGCAUGGAUUAGUUUCCUUGAAAUUUUGGGAUACCUAGAUCUAAAAUCGCCGGAUCCUUGAAACAACUAUCCAGAUCUGGAUCCACCAAUAUUUGUGAUUAUCUAGAUCCACAAGUAACUAGAUAAAAAAAAAAUUACAACUAUCAUUCGUAUUAAAUAUCUAAAUAUCUGAAUUGGAUCCGUAAACUCCACAAACCUAUUUUUGGAAUCGGAUCGGAUUUUGGAUCCAUGAUAUUUUGUGUAUCCCUUAUUGUGGAAUGUGGAUGAUCUUGCAAGCUCUUUUUUUUGUCAAUUUUAUUUCAUCGUUGUUUUGAAGCAAAAAAAAUCGAUUUUGCUUGAUUUAUGAUGUCCUUCAUUUAUAGUUUUUUUUUAAAAGAAAAUUGUGUAUAAAUUUUUUCAUCCAGCAAUAUAUUUGACAUUAAAAAAAAUUGUAUAUGAUAUCCACUAUUUUAUUUUAUACAUGAAAUAGCUAAAAAUUUUGCCUAAAAGAGUUUCACUAAUUUUUAAAUUUGUUCUUUGCAAGUGUGUGAGCUUUGUCUUGUUUAUUCCAUCAAUGUCGUUCCCGGAGAAGAAGAGGAAGACGGCCACAAAGAAGUCGUUACUUAAGCCCUCGCUGACGUUGCAAUCAACCCCAAAUCCUUCACUUCCCCUUCCCGAUGAUUUGCUAUUGAGUUGCUUUGCACGCGUCUCUAGGUUGUAUUACCCGACUCAGGGCCGGCCCUACGAGUUAUGGGGCCACAAACAAUUACGGUUUGGGGGUCUCAUAAUCUAUAUAUAAUUUUUUUUUACUGUUUGGGGGCCCCAAAAUCUAUACAUAUUACUCGUUAAAAAUUUGGGGGCCCAACACGAAUGUUUCACCCGGCUGUGCUCAGUUACGGCCCUGACCCGACUCUAUCCCUUGUCUCUAAAAGCUUACAUUCUCUCAUUACUUCACCAGAACUUUACAAGACUCGAUCACUCCUUAACCGUACUAAGAGUUGUCUCUAUGUCUGCUUAAAGCUCCCAUCUGACAGUAACCCUCGAUGGUUCACUCUUUCUCGGAAGCCUAAUCACCCCAGAAAGACAAAGAAUAAGACAAGUGGUAAUGUUUUGGUUCCAGUCCCAUUUCCCCAAUCUUCUCAUCCUACGCACGCGGCAAGUUUUGUAGCUGUUGGUUCUGAUAUCUACGAAAUUGGUGGACUCAUCAACGGCAGACCUUCCCCUAACGUCUCGGUCUUGGAUUGUCGUUAUCUUUCACGAAACCAAGCUCCAAACAUGUUGAAAGCUAGGAAAAAUCCAACAGUCUAUGCUAUUGAUGGAAAGUUAUGUGUUGAUGGAGACUCCAUCGACUCCGUAUCGUCAAACUAUAUAGAGGUUUUUGAUCCAAAAACCCAAACUUGGAAGCUUGAGGACCGAACUCCUUUUGCUAUAGAUAUAAAAGAAUGUCGCCUCGGGACGUCGUUUUCUGGUUGCUGGAUUGAUAACGUGUAUAUGUGGUACGAAUCCGGAUACAGACAGUUCGAAUGGUAUGACGCUAAUGAAUUAAAAUGGAAAAUCUUGAAAGGUAUGGAAGGACAACUGCCUAAGUUUACUAAAUAUUGUGAUGUUCAAUUGGGGAAUUAUGGUGGAAAGAUGGCGGUUUUAUGGGAUAAGCAUGAUCGUUCUAGCAAUGAUAAGGGAAGGGUUAUUUGGUGUGCGGAGAUUGCGCUUGAAAUAUGUAAUGAAGAGAUUUCGGGGAAGGUUGAGUGGUUCGGUCAUCUGCUUAAAGUCCCCAAGUUGUUUAGGUUCAUGUGUGUUCUUGAUCCUACUCUUUGAUGAGUGGCAACUGAAACAUGUGUUUGAAUCAAUCACUCAUCGGUAAAGUAUCAUUAUGUUUUCAAUCUGAUGUAUGACUUGUCUUGUUUUUCAUAUUUGUAACUCCAAUUUCGAACUUUGUUGAAAUUGGUAAUGCUUAGCUUAUGUAUGUUGUCUUGCUUCUUCUCUCUACCUUAUUAUGAAAUAAUUUUUUUUUUUUUGUCAAUAUUAUUAUUAUGAAAUGAUAUUUAGCUUCUUUUCUUUAUUUUGGCCGGGUUAGUAAUUUUAACAAUGAAAGUACACUUGUUUUCCAAUCAAAGGAAAGUUAUCACUUAAUAGUAUAUGAACCAGAGAGUGUCUAGCCAAUUUAGAGGAGUCCAACAAAAUCCUUCAUUUAUUUAUAAAUUUCUUCAUACUCCCUCUUUUUUUUUUUUUGUCAUCUGAUUAUAUAUUAAUAUUGAAGGUUACAAAUCUUGCCUAAAGCACAUACUAUAGUAGUUAGAAGUUAGUGAUUUACAUUCUACACUAACUAUUCCAAAAAUGAUAAUGACAUCAGUCUGAACUUAAGCUGAAACAUCACAACAACUUAAAACGAGGAUAUAACUUUCUCAGAGUCGAAUAACUCAAACUCAUGCAACCAAGAGGGAUGGCUAACCGCAACAGAAGAAUGAGACAAUGAUUCCAUUGAAAAAAGCUCCUCUAUUAGAAGCUGGAUGUUUUAACAUAAUACACACAAUUUAGUAAACAAUUUUUUUGUAAGAUUAGUAUUUUAUAUAAGAUGAAAAAUAUAUAUUUUUUUUUUCAUCAAAAUAACUUAUAUUAAUUUGAAAUAUCGUCAUACAAAAUGUUCACGAUCCAUGGAGGCGGAUCUGAAUUUGCAGAGUAAAAACAAGAUUGGGUGCUACCAAAUUUGGCAAGACAAUGAGCUACUUGAUUACAAGAACGAUUCACAUAAAGAAAACAAAGAUCCUUAAACUUAGGCAUCCAGAACUUGAUGUCUUCACAUAAUCCUCUAAUUGACGCAUCCAAUGAACGAUUAUUGAUGCUGUCGAUCAAUACUUUGCAAUCUCCUUCAAAAAAUACUUUGGUAAAGCCACGUAUCCAUGUUUGUUGCAUCGAGGAGAGUAAAGCUUGUGCUUCUGCUUCCAACGGUGAUCCUGUGACAUUCAAACGUGAUAAGCCCCAUGCUUUAGGUUCGCCGUUAUGGUCUCGAAUUAUCCAUCCUCCAUUUGUGUGAUUAGUGUUAGCAUCAAAUGUAGCAUCAAAAUUGCAUUUAACAUAAUCAGAAGAAAAAUAUUAUUUAAAAUUUGACUAAAACAUCAUAUUAAAACAUAUACGGAAAAAUAUUUUUCUUCAACAAUUACUUCCCUUAUUAAAAGUUAUAAUUUAGCAAAUGAGCUCUUAAAAAUUUAUAAUCAGCUACAAAAAAAAAAAAUUUAAUUAGUUUUUUUCAAUGCAGAAAGACGGGGCAUUUUGCAAAAGACUGUCCAAACAAGUCUAAAAAGAAGAAGCAGUAUCUCAUUCAUUCGAUAUCCAAGAUAGCUCCAGAUCUUGAUAUUGAUAACCACGAUCUCGAGUCAAUACUAUCUUAUGAUAGUGACGAGAAUGAUGCUAUAUGCAGUUAUUCGGAUUAUGACGAAUCUUCCGAAUCCUCAUCCGAAGAUGACAGAGACGAUGAUUGUUGUUUCAAGAUUACCCAGAUGCCUCAAGAAGACGAACUGCAGACACCACAUCUACCAGUAACCAUCUUCGAUCCUUCCAAAAGAGAAAAGCCAGUGCACGCAAUCGCAUUCUUCGACACAGGAGCUCAUACAACAAUCAUAAAUCCAAAGAUACUCUCACGAGCCAUGUGGAUGCCUCAUCAACAAGAUUUCAGAGUAGCAAACGCUGGAUCCCUGACGGUUAGGCUAAAAUCAAAACCAAUAACGAUCGAGCUUUUCCCAGGAUGUCAAGUUACUAAGGAAGUACUAGGUUCAUCUGCACCUGGUAAAGACUUAAUUCUUGGGUGGGAUACUUAUUCGGUACUGAAGAAGAAGUUCGGUAUUUCUCUUGAACCAAGAGGUGUGAGAUGGAAAAAUCUCUACAAGGCCUUUACCACGAUGCAUCGCCUAUUCUCAAUCGAAGACUCAGUAUCUGCAAAAUUCAACAAAAUUGAAGAAGAACUAAAGAUGGCAUCAUGUGCAGAUUCACACACAGAGUUCCUUCAAAAGUGCGACCAUCCGUUAUGGUUAAACUCAAGCUUCUUCGUAUCCCUACCAUUCAAAGAAGAUGUUCACACAACACCAACAAAAGCAAGCCAUGCAGGAAUGCCUCCAACACUGUUGCAGAAGGCAAAUGAGGAAUGCAAUCAAUUGAUGGAUCAAGGUAUCAUCUCAAGAACAAACUCUCCAUGGGCAUGCAAAGCAUUCUACGUUAAUAAUCGUGCAGAACAAGCAAGAGGAAAACUCAGAUUAGUUAUCGAUUACAAACCGUUGAACCAGUAUCUGCAAGACGUCAAGUUUCCACUGCCAAAUAAAAGAGCGCUUCUUCAACAUCUCCAAGGUGCAAAAAUAUUUUCGAAGUUUGAUCUGAAGUCAGGAUUUUGGCAACUCGGUGUUCAUCCUGAAGAAAGAUACAAGACUGCGUUUUGCCUUCCAAAUAGACACCUUCAAUGGAAUGUCUUACCCUUUGGUCUCAAGACGGCGCCAUCGCUAUUUCAACAAGCAAUGUUGCGUAUAUUCGAGCCGUUGUUACACACAGCCCUUAUAUACAUUGAUGACAUACUCAUCUUCUCGAAGAAUGAAGAAGAACAUAUUCAGGCGCUACAACAGUUUCAAGAUAUCGUCAAGAAAAGUGGAAUCAUGCUAUCAGCCAGAAAAAUGAUAAUAGCCCAGCCCAACAUUGAUUUUCUUGGCAUGCAUAUCAAAGAAGGAAGUUUCACACCACAGGCCCAUUUAGCUACAGAACUUCUAGAUUUUCCUGAUGAAAAUCUCACAAGGCGACAAAUUCAACAAUUUCUUGGAGUAAUCAAUUAUGUGGGAGACUUUAUUCCACACCUUUCCAGAAUGACAAGACCUCUACAGAAGAUGUUGUCGAAAAAUCCUCCUUUGUGGGCAUCACGACAAACUGAAGCUAUCAAAAGACUAAAAGCAGAAGUGCAAAAGCUACCUCCUUUAAAGAUUCCCUCCUCAGGCAUGCGUAUUCUACAGACAGACGCUAGCGAUAAGUAUUGGGGAGCAAUACUGUUUGAAGAGAUGGAUGGGAAAAGACAAAUCUGUGGAUACAAGAGUGGUCGUUUCAAAGAUUCAGAACAGCAUUAUCACUCAACGUUCAAGGAGAUUUUAGCAGUCAAAAAGGCUAUCGAAAGGAUCGAAAAUUCAAACAUGCCAGAAGAAGUUCUCUGUUUCCUCUGGUAUCUCUGUGCCGUAUACACGGUAGGAAUUGCUUUCGACAUCCAAUGGCUGUACCACUACGUCAACACUGUUCAAGACAAAAGAGACAGCUUCUCAACGUUCCUAAGGUGGUUUUCACCAUUGACUGUCUGGAGUGGAAAACUACGAAGAUCAGCGAAUGCGACAAAUCUAACAUUCAAGAAGUUGAAGAAAGGUGGACUCAACCCAUUCUUCAAUCCACAUUCAAUCUACUUCUUUCAUCGUCCCGUUAAGGUCAACCGCAAAACAAGCAAAAUCCUCGCUCUUCCAACUCUCAUUCAUCACGGUGAUUUUUCAAGAGGAGUUCGUCCAGAUUUCAACCUUCAGGAUAACGAAGCAUACGAAAACUUUCAAACUCAUGCGUUUCACCUCAACAAUGCAAGACAAACGUUCCCCAUUCCGUUCAUACCCAACUGGGUUUAUUAUCCGGUCGACUAUCAGAUGCAACUUGAUGAAGAUUUACAGUAUCACAUGAUGAAGUUCAACAAAGAAAGACCAAGCAGUCCAAAAGAAGAUAAACAAGAAGAGACAACUCCCCAGGCGACUUCUCAAGACUACUGUGCCGACUACUUCAAAGACGCUCAAUCCCCAGAUGAUGAAGUAAAUGUUGAAGAAAUCGAAAAGAAGUUCCAAUUCUACAUAAAUGUUCAACCAGGAGAAGAUGCACAAAUGAUCGAAAACUCGUAUGAAUGUCCAGGUGAUCAUUAUGGAUGCUGCGAAGAACAUAUGCUGGAGUUCGAAAUGGAUCAUUAAGCGGUAUGUUACAUAUAAAAUAUAAUAUGUUUAAAAUCAUGUAAAAUAAAUAAUGAUGUAAGCGAUGAUGUAAUCGCUGAUGUAAUGAUUAUGUAAGCAAUGAUGUAAGCGAUGAUGUAAUCGCUGAGGUAAGCGCUUAUGUCAGCGCCUUAAAACCUCCUAUAAAUAAGUGUGUACCCCUUGUAAGAAAUCAUAACUUGAAAUAUCAUAAAAUUUCAUAAUAGCUUUCUCUCUCUAAAAUGUUUCUCUAACUUCUCUCUAAGUUUUCCAGACUUCCGACUUUCUUCAUAAACCUUGUUUCUUUCUAUUCUAAACACAGUCGCGAUUCUGUAUUGUUCUCUUAAGGUUAGCAUAAGUGGUCCGUCAAUACGACGGUCGAACACGGCAGUCAAUAGUACUCGCCGGGGUUUCACAGUUCCUAAUAGUGGGUUGAGCAACACAGAGGCAAAGAGGCCCGAAUCGCUCCCUUUACCUGGAAAGUGAACCCUUGCUUGUAAACACGACUGUCGUCUAGACUUAGUCAACACGACCCUCCGCUCGUGCUAGCUUUAAGAUUAUGGUAUCAGAGCGAUGUUUUUAUUAUUUAUUUUUUUAUUAUUUAUGGUUGACCAAAUGAGAACGAUUUAAGAAAAUAAAAUAAAAAAACACAAGUGGAAAAGUUUUUAUUAUUUAUUUUUUUAAAAAGGAAAUGGAAUCUAUGCAGCUUCUCGACUCUUCCAAAAUUCAUUCCAAUAACCUUUGCUUCAGAAAUUGCCAUUGUCUCUAUCUAUAAAUCAAAUCACAUCCUCUUCCAUUUUCCUUCGUAUCAUCUCCUCACAAUCUCACCAAUUCCAAAUCCUAAACCUUUGUCUACUCUCUUCUUUUCUGCAGGUAAAAAAAUUCUUCUUUAAUCUCUAAUUUUUAUUUCAGUUUAUAGAAUUACUAAUCGUUAUUAAUGAUUAUUGAUCUAUACUUUGCAUGUUUCAAUUGAUUGUUUCCUUGUUCAAUUUGGUGGAUUAUGUUUCCAGGGAUCUUUGUUCUUGUCUGAUCUGUAUCUGUGUCUGUUUAUCGACAAUGGCACGUAUCCUUUUCUUGAUCUGAUCAUUUAUUAGAUACGUUACUUUUUUUUUUUUAGUAUAUAGUUUUAUUACAUAGGAGAAAUUUUAGGUUUUUAUUUUCUGUGAUACUUGUUUGGCUUUAAUUGAAGCAAACGUGGAAACCAGAGAGAACGUGAUCGUGAAAGAGCUCAAGCAAGAGGUAAUCAUAAGCCUAAGCAACUUAAGAACGAUGGAUUAACACCUGAACAACGUCGCGAAAGGUAAUUACUAUAAUCUCUGGUUUUGUCAAUUUGGAUAAGCUUAGAAGGAGAACACAUGGAAUAGGUUGUGGAAUUGAAUGUAAUAAGCUUUUGACAAACAAAACUUAUGAUCAUGAGCUAAACCGGUAUUGGUUUAAGCUCAUUUGUGAAGUUGAAUCAAGUUUAAGAUAUGUUGUUUUCGUUUAAAGUUGGUUUAAUGUUGUAUCUAAGAGAAGUUAAUUAUUAGAGUUUGUUACUGCAAUUAGAUCUAGUGGAUUGCUAAUUUGCUACCAUUGUUUAGUCGAGAUGUUUAAGUUCGAUUCGUGAGAGUGAGUGUUAGAGGUGAGUUUAGAUUCAUUUUCGAUGUUUGUGUUGGUAAAGUGAAUGCAUAAACCAUAACUUAAGCCUUGUGAGUUGUGACAUAAAAUCCAUGGAAUCUCUUUAAAGUUGUUGAUAAUUUAGGUUUACUUCUAAUACUUUGAGAUGAGCUAAUUAGAUUUUCUUUUGUAUUGUUGAUUUAGGAUGUGAAAUUGGUAAUGUUGAUACAUAGAUUGGAUUAUUGUUUUUCGUGGUGUAGAGACACGAGAGCAUUGCAGGAGAAGGCGGCUAAUUAGAUUUUGUUUCUUUUUAUUGAUUAAGGAUGUGGAAUUUGUAAUUUUGAUAGAUAGAUAGAUUGGAUGAUUGUUGGUCUUUCUUAUGUUCGUGGUGUAGAGACGCGAGAGCAUUGCAAGAAAAGGCAGCUAGAAAGGCUGGACAAUCAAUGGGAGGAGGGAACCAUGACCAUGCCCUUCGCGUUGGAGGUAAAAUCAAGAAAUAAGACGAUCACGUAGUAAGGCUUUUUGGGAUAUUGUUGGUAUAUGUUAUUAAUUGGUUGAUCAUCCGAGAGUCGAUUCUAUAUCGUGGUGAGAGGGUUUCAAGAGUUGUGUUAAGUCUACGAGUGUGAUUCUUAUCUUUGCAUAUGAUGUUGGCUUAUGAACUUUUUGUUAUUCGUCUUAUUUCCAAUGGAAUGUGUUUAUUGAUCUUUCGUUCUUUUGUUUCCGAGUUCUCUCGGCUCUAAAAUGCUUUGGAUCGGCCUCGAUAUUGAUUUUGGUUUUCUAUGGUGCUGGUUAAGUGAUGUGUUGUUGUUCCAAAUUUAGUGUAAUCUGAAGAUGUAGCUGCAGUCUGAUGAAGUUGUUGAAUGAGUUAAGAAGUAAUACAAGUUUUUGUUUGAUAGAGUUCUUGAAUGAUUCAAGAAGUAAGUCAAGAUGCGACUGUUUUUGUGUGUGUGUCGGUUUCUAGAAGGUUUGAGAAGAUAUGGUUGGAGCGUGUUUAGAGGAUGAAUCACAAAGGAAAAAGGACUUAAAGAGAUUUGGAAGACUUGAUGAAAGUGGAGUUUAAUGAAGAAAAGGAAAAGUGUAAAAGGAAAUUUACUUUUUCUUAUGGAAAUUGGAAAUCUUCUCCUAUGGUGAUUAGGAAAUCGUUUUGGCUAUAUAUGGAGGAGCUGAGGACGUCUUGGAGAAGCAAGAGAGCUGAGGCAUAAAGAAUAAAUCUUUGAGAGCUUUCGGUGAGAUUAUGUGCAACUUAGUUUUGCGGGUUUGUGCUUGUGUGAUCAAGUGGUUUUGUUUCGAAGUCUAGGCUCAAGGGGAGUUUAGCUCAGGGUUAGGUUAUCCUGAUUAAAUCUAGACUCAAGGGGAGUUUAGUUAAGGGUAGAGAUUAUCCUUAAGGUUUCACGUUAUAGAAGGGAGCGGUAAAUCAAGAGGGUUGGGCUUGUUUUACGCAUUUGCGAAUUGGUUGUAAUUUGCUUUCUUGUUCUAGUGGAAUCGAAAUCUGGACGUGGUUCCGGGGAGUAGGAAAAACCGAACCUCGUUAACAAAUUUCUUGUCUCGUUUACUUUCCGCAAUUUAUCGUACCUCAUCCGCACUUACAUAAUCUUCUUCUACAGAACCAAAAUCUGAUUGGGAAAGUAAAAAAGAAAAAACUCAUAACAAACUUGACCUGUUCUCUUACAUCACAUUAUCAUUACGAAGACAAUACAAAAAAAGUUUUGUGGACCAGUAUCUAUUAUGGUCAUUAAUGUGUUAGGUCAUCAAACACUUUUGAAUAUUAAAAUUUAAAAUCCUCAACUGAAUUAUUGUACAAUUCAAAAUUGGAACACAUCAAGAUCAAGUUUUUUUAAAAAAAAUUGAUGAGUGAAUUAGCUUAAAACUGCUCUCCAACCAUUUCAUAUUCAGGUUUGAUCUAAACCCUGAUUUUGCUUUUUUUACGUCUCUAACCACUUUGUACCUAAUUAACUAUGACGAUUCAUAUUCUUAAAAAGUUUAAUAUUCCAAAGUUGAAAACUAGAUAAUACAGAAAAAGAGCUAAUAAUAUAUCUCAAGAAUUUACGAUAAAUGAGACCAAAGUACAUAAUUAACAGAACUAAACAAACUCAAAAGUACAUUUGACAUUUGAAAUACCCUUGUAAGAGAAAAACUUGUCCAAAGACAUACAAAGACGACAAAACUGUGGAAAUUACCGAAUAUACCCCUACUCCCAGCUUUGAUGGAUAAAACAAAACUUCAAAAUAAAAGGCCAAAUACGUGAAUUCACAGUAGGUUAUCUCCUCUGCUACGUUUUAAAACUCUUUCUAUCCCACUCUUCCAAAAGAGAUUCUCAAGUCACUAAAAUAAAAGAGCAAAACCAAGCAGAUGAUUUCAAUCAACAACAAUAUCUAAAAGAAAGUGAUCAUCUUUUACUUUUUUGUUUUUAUUCUUUUUUGACCCACAAAAUUCUUCAUCAAUCACUGUGUCUGCAUGAUUGUUUUAUAUAUAUAUAAAAACUGCAAAAUUUUGUUCUUUAAUUUUGUCAGAUUCGUAUAAAGUAAAGUUUCUGAGAUUCAUUAAAAUAUUUAUUUGAUUACAGAUCUGCUAUAGAUUUACGGAUUCUAGUGCAAAGAGAAGGAAGUUGUCGGCGAAAGGUAAGGUAUCCGAUGAUUCUUUAUAUAUUAAUCAAGUGGAUCUGUUUUACUCUCACUGACUAUUUUCUCAGUGAAGAUACAAAAACUUGAGAAUUUUUUUUAUUUUUUUUCACUCUCGUUGCCGACGAAAUUGGUUUUUCAUUUUCUUAGGAAAAUCUUUGACAAGAUGAUUCAAAUGGACGGUGGAGAUAGGCUGAGAGUGACUUUGUUUGAUCGAAUGUCAACGGUGGAGAAUGGCCGGAGCUCAGUGACUCUAGAAGAUAUUCUGAUGGCUGAAACGAGCAGUUUCCGAUCUCUUACUGCGCCGCCUUCUCCGGCGAGAAACCACUCGAAUAGUAGUUUACUUGACGUGAUGAGAAGAGAGCGUCGCCGUGAUAAAACCGCUUGGAAAUCUCUCCGGGAUAAGCUCCGCCUUAAACGCGCCGCUACGGGUUGGAUUUCGUCUAAUCCUAUCCCUAAUUUGGAUAAUCCUAUCCUUACUCCGGAUAGCGACAGCCACCGGUUUAACCGCCUUGGAUUCCUCCUAUCUAAUUCGGAGACAAACCGGAGCAAUGGUGAUGUCAGCGAUGGUGGAGAGGAAGCGGCAGAGCGAGAAGGAAGGCUCCGGCUAGGCACGGUGUUGGCGGCGGAUAGAGAGGUAUUAAUGUGUAUCAGUUAGUUAAUCAGUUAGUUAGUUAGUUAGUUAGUUAGGUUGUUAGUUAGACGGUUAAACUUCAUAUCCUCUGUUUCUAAUUCACAAUUAAUGAGAACAAUUUUAUGUUAUAAAUUUUCAUCCAAUUAGGAAAUGCAGCCGCCGAGGAUGUCUUUAAUGGAGUUGUUGGAGGAUAAUGAUGGACAAAUGUAUGAGGUCAACGCGAGAGAAGAGGCGGAAGCGGAGGAAAGAGAUUGUUGCGGCCGCGGAGGAGAGGCGGUGGCGGUGACGGGGGCAGCGGAGUUGGGUUGUUGUGUGUGUAUGAUAAGGAGUAAAGGUGCGGCUUUUAUACCUUGUGGACAUACAUUUUGCAGAUUGUGUUCGAGAGAGCUUUGGGUACAGAGAGGAAACUGUCCUCUAUGUAACACUGCCAUUUUACAAGUUCUUGAUAUUUUCUAGCUUAGCUUCUUUUGCAUUUUUGUAUUAUUUAGGUGUGUCUAUUGUUUUCUUUACUUGUUUGUUUGUGAAGUGAUGAAUCUCAAACAAUGAACCUUCACAACAAUGCUUAAUCGAAGGCCAAAAGCUCAAAACGAGACUAAACUGCCAUAUUCACACUCGAGAUCGUUCUAGAAAGAAAGACAUAAUGGUUUCUCUAUUAACCGACAUGACGACGACAUUUUACAAUCGGCAUCUUUUGAAGCCACUAGUUCUAAAUUGACUACGAUGAUAAGAGAAACUUAACACCUAGUAUAAUGAUGAACCGAUUACAACUUCCAACAUAACUCUUCAGAACCACCAUCACCGCAUAAAAGCGCCAUUCAACCCCACAUUACCGAAACUGCCAUGAAUAAUCAUGAUUGAUGCUAUACUUUGCUGAAUAAGUUCCCAUAACUCAAAACAUAAUAUAGAAACUAUAAGAAAAAAGGUUCAUAGAUCGAAUCGUCAAAACUCAAAAAUAGCAUAAGAGAAAAUAUACAUAAGAGGAUCACAUAGUUGAAUUAAAAGCUUGAAAUCAAAGGAGAGAGUUCUACGAAUACACCAACGUUGUGUUGGCCCAGUGGUAAAUCUCCCAGGUGGAGAUACUGGGCUCGACGCCCGUUGGGAGGGAUCUCUUCUCCAAAUGAGAUGAAUUUAACCUGAUGUGGGUCCCGUCUCUGGGAGAUGUAGGGCCUUCGGGCUUGAACUUCCACAUAUUCAAAAAAAAAAUAUCAUUUGGACGCUUUUUUGGUCUAUAUCCCCCAAAAAGAAAAACAACCCUUUGUAUCUCUUGUGCCAAGAUUUGAAGCUAGAAGAAUUCAGAAUCACGGAAACCUUCUAGUUGUAGUAGAAUCUUCCGCGCAUGGUCAGAACCGUUAGGCUUGACAUUGAGGAAAUAUACUAGGACAGAAAUGAUAGCUAAUAAGUUUAGUAUUUUGCACCUUUUAAAUCAUCACACACUAACAUAUUAACUCUCGACGUUCAUGUCAAUGUGGAUUCAGCACAAUGUAUUGUCGCUUGUAUAAUUUUCGGAUAGCUAAUGUAUUGUCGCUUGUAUAAUUUUCGGCACUAUAUAUCAAAUACUUCGUGUAUAGAUCCUCACCAUGAUGAUAGUUCAUCAUGUAUACUAUAAAUUGACAUUUUUCCCAUGUAACAACAUAAUACUUUGGAACUAUAAGUCAUUGUAUCUCAUACAUAAUCAACAUGCAAUAUAUUCUUUAACGUCUUGCAUAAACUUUUGCAAAGCCACAUGUGAAGAUCCACCUUCCAUUAACGCCACGUGAAACUUCUCUGCCAUCUCCUUCACUCUAUCUCUAACAUCACUAUCCUCCUCCAUCACACGCUUCAUCGCUCUCUCUAUCUCCUCCACCGUAACCGUCUCCAUCUCUCCGGCCAACAACUCUCCUUUUAAAUACUUCCGAAUCUCCACCGCCAAUCCCAGCUCCUCCACCAUCUCGAACGCGUUUACCUUCUGUUCUGAGUAAAGCGGCCACGCCACCAUCGGAACACCAAACCACAAGCUCUCUAACAUCGAGUUCCACCCGCAAUGAGUGACGAAUCCUCCUACCGCCACUUUCGCUAGCACCGCCACUUGCGGUGCCCAUCCAAUUACCUUCCCUUUAUCCGAUGUACGAUUUAGGAAACCCUCCGGGAGAACUUCCUCUAGGUUUGUGAAAUCUCCGGGACGUUCCAUCAUUAUAUUCCGUGAUGCACGAUGGAGAGACCAAAGAAACCGGUAACCGCUUCGUUCUAGCGCGACGGCGAUUUCUUUUGUUUGUUCCUCAUUAAAACCUCCCAUGCUCCCAAAACAGAGGAACACAACAGAUUUAGCCGGUAGCUCAUCGAGCCACCGCAAAAUCUCCGAUUGCUUCUCGUCUUCGAGAUGCAAAACUGGUCCUAUUGGAUAAACUUGAGGAAGAUCACCACCAACAUUGUUGAACAUUUUCAAAGCGUGUGGCUCAAGUUCAGCAACUGUAUUUACCAAAAUACCCUUUAUCUUUCGGAAUUUUCUAGCUUGAGCUAAAAACAAAGGUAGCCACUGUUUUGAAGUGAAGAGAUAAGGCAGUAACUUCACAGGAUAAGGACGAGUCAAACACGGAAACUCUAACUAACUGACCGAGUCUUCUAACUCGCUAACGUCAUACUUUUUCUCGUCGUGCAUUAGCUGAAUGUGAAGUGUAAUUCCCAAAAACGUAGCGUUCGAUGCAUAGAACAUAUAAAUCGGAAUAUCGAAUUCGUUAGCUACAUCUAUCAUUGAGAAACAGAACAUAUCCACCACGAAUCCAGCGAGCCGUCGUGUUGGAUCAUUGACUAUUCUCAAGACUAUAUCUCUUACCUUUGGCUUUUGAUUCUCGAUGUAGACUUGAGUCGGCUGGUUUGGAUCUGCGGUUGUUGGUUGAUCUUUGAUGGAGAUGGUUUCAUAGCGGAGGCGAUCUUGAGAUGUCGUUGAGAGUGAUGCUAUAUAGGUAGAAUCAUCGGCGAUGUUGUUUAUGGAAGGGAUGAUGAUCACGGUGAUGGAAAGGCGGUCAUCGCUGUGGACAAGUCGCUUCGCUAACUCGAUGGUUGGCUUGCGAUGACCGAUACCUGGUAAUGGUAUGAAAACAAGCUCAAUCUUCAUUUAUCAGUUUGGUUAGAAGUAGUAAAGCUGAUGUAUAUGAUUUGCUAGAAGUUAAGGCGACUGAUUUAUUGGUUUCUAUGAUUCGCUAAUCUUCAAUAUACAUCUUCAUUUAUCAGUUUGGUUUCUAUGAUAUGCUAGAAGUUAAGGCGACUGAUUUAUAAGUGGAGUGUAGAGAGGUUAUGAAAGUAUACCUUGUAAACUUGUCACUAAACAAAUCAAUUCAUUUUCUCAGAGUGACUACUCACAGGAUUUUGAUUAUCUAGUGACAAAGAGUACUGUCAUAAUUCAUAAAAUAAAGAAGAGACCAAAAUCAAAGUAAAUGAGUUGGGUAAUUUUACAUACCAAAGAGACGCCUAUGUUAAUCAUGUGAAGUCAUCUUCUUCUUGAAAUACAUAUAUCUCCGAAAAUUCGAGUUAGAAAGGAUCUAGUUUUUUCUUUAAAAAAAAAAAAACUUUCAUAUAACUAACAUGUAUAUGUUAGAGCUAUUACCUGUUUUCUAUGGACAACUGUAUCAUUAUUUUCCCUAUUUUUGAAUUUUAUUUUCAAGAAAGAUUUUCAUUUUUUUAGAUUGUGGACUGCUAUUUAAAUAAAAAGAAAAAAACUAAUUACUAGGGAAUUCGGAAAAGCUCCUAUUAUAUGUGAACAAUUAGGAGAUCGAUGUGUUAUGAAAAUUUCUGAUGAUAAUUCACAAGAGCCUUUACGUGAUUAUAUAGCAGAAAGACGAUAUCUAGUUUCCUAAAGGAAUACAAUCAUAAUCAAUUUACAUUUAAGAUGAAUGAUACGGGAGCGUAUCACAUUGAUGAUAUGAUACGUUAUUACCCCCUCUCAAGCUGGUGCGUGGAGAUCAAGAAUGCCCAGCUUGUCGCGGAAUAACUUGUAUGCUUGUCGUCCUAAUGGUUUUGUAAAGAUGUCGGCUAGCUGUUGAGUAGUUGAAACAUGAUGUGGAGACAUUGUACCUUUUUGUAUCUCAUCACAAACGGCGUGACAAUCAUUUUCGAUGUGUUUCGUACGCUCAUGAAAGACCGGGUUUGUACUGAUAUGAAUUGCUGCUUUGCUAUCGCAGAAAAUUUUCAUCGGUUGAUUGUGUACCACUCCCAUUGAUACAAGUACCUUCUUUAUCCAGAGUAGCUCGUCGCGAAGGAAGGACAUUGUCCUGUAUUCAGCUUCAGCAGAUGACUUACUAACCGUUUCUUGUUUCUUUGUUUUCCACGAGAUAGGAGACUGUCCUAACUGAACAAAGUAGCCGGUGACUGAACGACGACUGAUAGGAUAGCUUAACCAGUCAGAAUCACACCAACCAUUAACCUGAAAAUCAUUAUCAGAACUCAAAAGAAUUCCUUGACCAACAGUACCUUUAAUAUAACGCACAACCCGUAAUGCAGCAUUCCAAUGGUCUUCACGUGGCUGUUGCAUAAAUUGGGCCAAUGUAUGAACACAAAAUGCUAAAUCAGGUCUAGUUGAUGCCAAGUAGAUAAACCGACCAAUGAGUCUUCGAUAUGGUGAUGGAUCAAUCAGCAGUGCCGAUGUCGAUAAAGCUAGCUGAUGAUUUUGUUCCAAGGGAAACGAAGCAGGCUUGGAAGCUAAGUGACCAGUCUCGGUGACAAUGUCCAAAGCAUACUUGCGUUGACUUAGAUAAAAACCAGACUUGUUGUGAGAGACCUCAAUUCCCAAGAAGUAUUUCAAAGCACCUAGAUCUUUCAUCUUGAAGCAAGUAGAGAGAUAGGCCUUAAAUUCUUCCAACACCGCGAUGUUGUUGCCGGUGAGGGUCAUGUCAUCGACAUAUAUGAGCAAACAAAUCUGAAUUCCUUGUUUAUCAAACGUGAACAAGGAAUAGUCAGCAUGUGUUUGCUGAAAACCAUAUUCACGCAAAGAUGCUGUUAGCUUUUCGAACCAGCAUCGCGUAGCUUGUUUGAGACCGUAAGAGCAUCUCCAAUGGUGAGAACCCCUCAAGAGGCUCUCACCAUUUUUUAAGUUUAAAUUUUGCUUUUAUCAAACUUAAGAACUUGAAUUGGAGUCCUUAGAUUCUGUCUCCUCCAAUGGUGGGGUUCUUAUGAAAAACUUUAAAAAUUGUUAAACAAAGCAUAUAUGUUUUUUUGCAAUACAUGUUUGUUUUUACUCGUACAAGACAUUGUACAAUCUAUUAAGAGAGUACUAGAGACAUUACAACCAAUGAACACCAUUGCACAUAGACAUUAAAGUAGUUGCACAAGCUUGAAGUUACUUACAAGGGGAACAUGGUUUCUACCCCCAACUCCAGCAACAAGCCUUCUAAUUCUAUAUGUUGAGUUAAGACCAGCAUUACGCCUUGCUACGACGACGGCUUCUACAAUCGAAUACAAGCCUCUUGUUCUCAAGCACUUCCUGUUCAAACAAAGUAAAUGGCAAGCCUAUGAAAGGUUUCACUUAGAAGAUGAAAGAUAGCUUGAUCCCAUUCCCACAAGAAAAAGAAAUUACAAUCUAGGCAAACUGUAUAUGACUUUUAUUAGCUGCACAAUGUAACCGGGUUUUAUCUCUGAAAUCUCUCUAAGAGUUGUCAUUUACUCAACUGUUUCCUUGUCUACAAACCGCUUGAACUUGAUUAUCUGAGACACAACACAAUCUGACAACAUCAUUAAAAAAGAGUUUGAUUCUUCGAACAAUCCUAUUAAAACAAAAGGAUCACAUUACUAUGUUCCAUGUCUAUAACAUAACACACAAGGCAAACCAGAGCCAACCUCAAUUCCAUAGCAUAUAACAACGAAGCUUACCAAAGCAUAACAAACUUCUUCAAGUAACGGACAAGCAAAUCUGCUUUCCUCGAUCCUUAGUACUCCAUUGGAACUCCAUGGUCAUAGAGCUGCGUCUAACUGCAACUGGAUCAACAAAAAGAACAUAAGAAGAACAUAUUUGAAGCAUUAAUAAGCCACAUCUUCCAUUAAAACCGAACAUUGUAUAAAAUUCGAUGACAUAACACUGAAAUUGGAUUGAUCAAUUGUUAUAUAACCAAUAAUAAACCUAAAUUCGACAAAGAAAUUGCAAACAAACAAAUCCAAAUCGUACUAAAGCGAGAUUGAGACGCUUGCAGUGGCCACACCAAGGAGCAUAGCAAUCAACAAAGAUGCAAUCAAAAGUUGAAAUCGCCGAAUCAAAAUUUGAAUCUGUGAGUUCUAGUACUGUUCCGUCAACGGUGAAUUGAUCAUCCGACGAUGCAACGAUUGAGAUUGAUAACGUUAGAAACGAGAUCCAACAGAGUAAUAAACAUAACAAUCGCAUCUCGAUCUGAUUUUCAGACCAAACUUAAGAAGCUUCUGAUACUAGACUGUUAUCAGCAAGAGAGAUGAGCAACAGAGAAUUAGUCGUGAAAGAUAGUCGAGCGAGAGAGAGAUAGGGCACAGGGCAAAAAAAAAAUUGUUAAAAAAAUUCAACCAACCAAUCAUGGUUGCCACGUAACCGGCUCUCUCAGGUUACAAAAGCUCUUUCAAGAGACCCGAUUCUCUGCAUAUUAAUGUAUUUUCAUUUAUUUUUAUUACAAUUAAAUGAGAGAACCCUACUUUUUGAGGAGAAAGCCUCCCUUUGGAGAUGCUCUAAAUAGACUUCCUUAGCCGGCAUACAUUUUGCUCAUCCUGUGAAUAAAAACCAGUAGGUGGUUUCAUAUACACCUCUUCAUCACGAUCCCCGUGCAGAAAAGCGUUGUGGACGUCCAUCUGAUAAACUGGUCAAUCAUUCCCAGCUGCGACCUUCAAGAACAAACGGACAAUACCCAUUUUGGCGACUGGAGCAAAAGUUUCACCGUAAUCUUCUCCUUCAAUCUGUUUAUUACCAAGAGCAACCAGCCUUGCCUUGUAACGUUCAAUGGUUCCAUCCGAAUUGUAUUUGAUUUUGUAGACCCACUUGCUUCCAAUGGCUCGUUUACCAGGUGGAAGAUCUUCCAAUGUCUAAGUUUUGUUUUCUUCUAAAGCACCUACUUCCGUACCCAUGGCUUUCUUCCAUCGUUCAUUCUCUAUUGCAGAUUUAAAAGAUCUCGGCUCAAUAUUCUCAGUGAUAGCCGCUAAGUAGCAACGAUGAGUCUCUGAAACUGAGUACAUGAGACAUAAUUAGCAAUAGGGUAUUGGGUAUUACCAUAUUUGGUGAGCAGCUUCCCUUGUGCAUUUUUAACCACAUAAUUUUUGAGUUUUACAGAUGGAAUCUUUUGUCUCUUUCCUCGACCCAAUAGUUCCGGUGGAGGUGGAGCAGGGAUCGUAGAAGUCGAUGAAUCACUAGAAGUGGUUGUCGUACGAGUUUCAGGGUUAGUGGACUGAGACGACGUCGUCACUGGAGACACAGAUGGAGAGGAUUCAGACGAUGAUGGCGUCGGGGAUGAAACCGACGGCAAACGCGAAGAAGAUGAGGAAGCAUUGUUUAUGUCUAGGCCCGUUGGGAGAAUUGGACCAGAAUUCUGCAAUGGGUUUUUGCCCUUAUUGGGCAUGUCUUCAAUUUCAGGGAAUUGAAUUAAACCAAUUGGAGCCCAUAGCGCUUCUUCUUCUUCGUUUCCAAAACCUGAAGCCGACGAAGUCGUUGGAGAAAACAGGAAUUGAUCUUCAUAGAACACCACAUCACGGGAGAUAAAGAAUUCUUCUGUUUCAAAAUCGUAUAAUCUCCACCCCUUUUUGCCGUAAGGGUAGCCAACAAACACACAUUUUUGGCUCCUUGAUUCAAACUUGUCUUUCUUGUGACCUUGAUUAUGAGCAUAGCAGAGACUGCCAAAGACUCUUAAGUGUGUAUAAUCUGGCUCUUUGUUAUACAGUUUCUCAUAUGGUGUUAAACCAUUUAGAACUGAAAAAGGAGUACAAUUAAUUAAGUAACCCGCAGUAAGAAUACACUCUCCCCAAAACUGAAUUGGUAAGUGUACUUGAAAGCGUAAGGCCCGUGCUACAUUCAAAAUGUGUCUGUGCUUUCGUUCUGCUCUGCCGUUUUAUUGUGGUGUUCCCACACAGGAAGUCUCUUGAAGAAUCCCUUGUUACCGGAAGUAACUUGCUAAACUUGUGAAUUCGGUUCCAUUAUCACUACGAAAACUUUUAACUUUUGUCUGAAACUGUGUCUCAACCAAAGAGAUAAAAUUCUUGAUGCAAUGUGAAGCUGUGCGGUAAGGACCCCAUAAGUCUGAAUGCACUAAUUGAAAAACUUGUGUAGUUUUAUUGAUACUAGUUGGAAAUGGAGAUCGAGUUUUCUUGGCGCGGAGACAAACAUCACACGCCUUAUUCAAAAUAUCAUAACGAACAGAAACAGAAACAUUCUUAAGAGAACUAAGAACUUGUGCAGCCGGAUGUCCUAUGCGAUGAUUCCACAACUCAUAUGAUUUUUCAGCUUGAGUCCGCACCGAUGCUGCCAAUUCUAUUCUGCGAAAGUAGAAGGUUCCCGACUCUCUCUUACCCGCUCCAAUCGCGGUCCUGAACCAUAAAAAACUGAUCAGCUAGUUGAACAACGCAACGGUUCUCAUCCAUUAACUGUCCUACAUCUAUCAAAUCUGUCGUUAACUCCUCAACAAAAUAGACCAAUUUCAAAACCAAAUGUGAACCUAGCACCAUUGAUCCUUCUUUUACCGAAAUCCUCUCUCUACCAUCAGCCAAUAUGACUAAAACAGGUUCCAUAUCUCGAACAUUUGUGAGAAGAUCAAAGUUACCUGUUAAAUGAUGAGAGGCGCCCGUAUCUAGUAUCCAAGUAGGUGUUGAAGACUUACCCGAGAGUUUCUCUGUGCUUGUGCUAGCACCUCCGUUGAGCAAGUUCUUCAAACGACGCCACUCCGCAUCAUUGAGACCAUUCACGCCAUCACGAUCUUUGUCAGUGAUAACGUAAUUCGCUUGUUCCGUCACUGGCAUUGUAGGAACAUGAACAGCAUUUGCGUAAUUGAUAUUACGCCCACGACCAAUGGAUGCAGCUCCUGGUGUUGUUCCUCUUCUUCGUUCUGUCACCACACGGCUGCGCGGUCGCUCUCCCAACCACUCAGGAUAACCAACAACAGCAAAGCAACUGUUGGAAACAUGACCUGACCGAUUACAGUGUUUACACACAACAACAUUCUCAAAAGCAUCAAUACGAGCCGAGUUGAUACGCGGCCUGGUGUGUACUGCAUGAGCAACAACUUGUGGUGAAUCUUCAAUGUGGUGAAUGGUGGUUUUGAGAUUCUCUUCUUGACGAACAACGUUGUAAACCUCCUCCAAAUGCUGAAUGGGAACACGCGAGACCAAGGAAGAUCUCACUGUCCUAAAAUUAUCAUCAAGACCAGACAAAAACUCAUGGACUUUGUCAGUUUCACGAUCUUGCUCUUGAAGAGUUCCGAGAUCGCACUCACAUUUCCCACAUUUGCAAACGCGCAGUGGUCGAUAGUGAGCCAUAUUGUCCCAAAUCCAGUUCAAUUUGCCGUAGUAUGCCUCAAUGGCAAGUCCACGUUGCUUGCAACACGCCAACUCCGACUUCAGCUGCUGAAUACGGGGUCCGUUGGUCACAGAAAAUCGUUUCUUCAAGUUGUCCCAUAGAUCCUUCGCAACAUCACGAUGAUAGAUGCUUGAGCGAAGAGAAGGAUCAAUGGACAUCUUGAUCCAGGAGACAAGCAAGGCUUGAAUCGUCCACCAAUCUUCAAGAUCCGCAGAUCCGUCGUCUGGUCGGGCAAUGGUUCCAUCGAGAAAGCCGAAUUUCUUGCGAGAACAGAGAGCUGUCUUCGUUCCGCAAGCCCAUUCGUCGUAGUUAGAUCCCUUGAGUAAGGGAUGAGAAAUCACGGCACCUGGGUUAUCAGCAGUAGUAAGGUCAUAAGGAGAGAUCGUUCUUCGUGUCUUCAUCGGGUUCGGGGUCUGGUUCGUUUCAGUUGCUUCAGAGUUCGUUGGAGUAGCCAUUGAUCAGAAAAAUCUUGUUUAAAAAAUCAAAGAAGAGAAAAGAAUCGGAAAAUUUUUUUGUCAAGGCUCUGAUACCAUGAACAAUUAGGAGAUCGAUGUGUUAUGAAAGUUUCUGAUGAUUAUUCACAAGAGCCUUUACAUGAUUAUAUAGCAGAGAGACGAUAUCUAGUUUCCUAAAGGAAUACAAUCAUAAUCAAUUUACAUUUAAGAUGAAUGAUACGGGAGCGUAUCACAUUGAUGAUAUGAUACGCUAUUAAUAUGAUUCAAUUAAAAGCCUAAUUUAGUUUUUUAGAGAUGACAAAACCAUAUUUUGGAUUCCAAAAAAAAAACCAAUUUAAUAUCCUUAGAUCAUGAACCUGGUUGUUUACUAUAAUCUCUUCUUGGAAACACUUGCUUGGAGUUAUUGGUUCUUCGAGCUGAUUGACUUAGUACAUCGAUCUAGUAUUGACUUGAUAGUUCUAGCAUGUUAUUGUGUUCAAUUUUCCCAAACCCUAUGCGUAAAACCAUCAUGACUUAUGGUCGAAGAACACUGCACCACUAAAGAUAUUGGAUCAAUUACCCCAGCCUCGAUUCGUUGGGGUGGGACCAUUGCUACCAACUUUGUUUAUUGAGCUAUCCUCUUAUGGAGAGAAACCGCCGAAGUUUCCAUGAUGCAUCAAUAUGUUUCGUGCCGAUGAUUUACAAGGCAAAUGAUGUAUUUUCAACGUCACGAAAUUUUUUGAUUGUGACUAUAUCUAAACACCCGAAUUUUUUCGCGGAUGUGUCUUCGAUACACCAUGAGCUUGCUUGUGGCGUGUUGAUUUUUAGCAUACGUCUCCGAGUCUCUAUGGCCCUAUCAUCUACCUUUAUGGCUUCUCAAACCUAUCUUUCUAGAGGUAAUAUUAGUAAGUAACAUUUGACUCAAAAAGAAUUAAGAACAUAGCCAUGAGUCAGAAAUAGGAAACUAACAUUUUUGAGAAAGGAGGAAUAUCAACACUCCCCUUAAAAAUGUAGCAGCAUAUUGACAAAGAUGUAGCAGCGUAUUGUUAUUUGUGAAAAAACAUGUCGUUUGACAAAAAUAUAAUGUUAUACUAAAAGAAAAUGCGUGUCAUUUAGAAAAUAAUGUGUGUUUUAACAUUAAAAUCAUGUUUUUGGAAGAAAUCACAUGUGAUCUUUAUAAAUAACGUGUAAUAUAGAAAAAUAACAUGUUGAAGAGAGAGAUCUUCCGUUAUCACGUGUAAUUCGAUUAGUUAGCGUGUUACAAAAGAAAAUGAUGGACAAUUAAAAAAAAGCAUGACGACACAAAAAGAUUAAAAUCCGACGAAAUAAAGAGAAAGAUCUUCUACAAAUUGAGAGAAAGAACCCAUCAAUAUGAAGAGCGUUUGGCAUCCCAAAUUUAUCGAGAAAGAGAAAUAUUGGCGGCAACAUAGAAUUUGUCGGAGCGUAGUUGUGAAUGCAAAAAAAGAAGAAAGAAAAAAGACGAAAGUGUUGGGAUCAUUUCAUCUACAUUUCUGACAAAUCACUGUAGUUCAUGGUUAGUUACUUAAUUAUUUUCAUAAUUCUAUGAGUAGUUUCUACAUGUUCCCUAUAAUAUCUUUGUUGUAAGUUUAUGUUUCCUUAAUGCUAUCGUUCCCAACCAUGUGGUUUAAGAGUUUGUAUAAUUAUAUGCCCGUUUGGGUUUGAUUGAAUGGAAAACAAAGUAGUUUGCAACCCAAAAAAGAAAAAAAUCAUGAACUUGGUAAAAUCUGGUUUUGGUUAAGAUAACCGACAUGUCCCGUAACCAAACAAUCAGCUUUCGGUUUAUCGAGUUCGGCCCACAACCAAAGAAAUCUGGGCCUGGGCCUUUAAAUUUCUCAUCAGUUUUUUUUUUUUUUCCCUUUCCCAGGAAAAGAAACAGAAACGGAAACGAGAUCUAGCACAGACGUCUCGUGUCGUCGCCGGAGAAGACAACUACGAACAAAGCGGAGAGAGAGAGAGAGAGAGAGAGAGAGAGAGAGAGAGAGAGAGAGAGAGAGAGAGAGAGCUUCAUAAACCCUAAUAGAUCAAAUUUCUCCAUUUCCGGUGAAGAAAAAGAUGAAUAUUUUCAGAUUAGCCGGUGAUAUGAGUCACCUCGCUAGUGUUCUUGUCUUACUUCUCAAGAUCCACACCAUCAAAUCCUGCGCCGGUAUGUUCCAUUCCAAAAUUGAUACAAUGGAAUCGAUUUUUUGAAUGAUUCUUAUUCUUGAUUCGAUUCUGUUACUGAAUUUGUGUGAAUCUCCAUUUACUUUGGAAUUUUCAGGUGUAUCGUUAAAGACUCAAGAACUCUACGCCAUUGUCUUCGCUACGCGAUAUUUAGAUAUACUUACGAGUUUUUAUUCUAUCUAUAACACUCUAAUGAAGUUGAUAUUCUUAGGAAGUUCUUUUUCAAUAGUUUGGUACAUGAAGUAUCAUAAGACUGUUCAUAGGACUUAUGAUAGAGAACAAGAUACGUUUCGUCAUUGGUUCCUUGUGCUUCCUUGCUUUCUCUUAGCUCUUUUGAUUCACGAAAAGUUUACCUUUCUCGAGGUUUGUUUCUUGCUCGCCAGAACAAUUUUAUCGCAUUUUUAUGUUUCUUCGGUGUGAAUCACAUCUUGUAUAUAUUAUCAGGUCCUGUGGACUUUUUCAUUGUACUUGGAGGCUGUUGCUAUACUUCCUCAGCUUGUUUUGCUGCAGAGGACUAGAAAUAUCGACAACUUGACUGGACAAUACAUAUUUCUCCUCGGGUAAGUUGACGUCUUUUUCCAUGGCAAUUGUGUUUUAAGUUUCAAAUUUGGUAUACGAAUUAUGUCGUCUUGUUACAGGGGAUACCGAGGAUUCUACAUACUCAACUGGAUUUAUCGUUACUUCACUGAACCACACUUUGUUCACUGGAUAAGUAUGACUAUUUUACCUCUCUCAAUGUUCUUUGUCAAGUCUCUGUCAGGCAUAUUAUUGCAUCUGUUGAUAUGUUUGUGCCUACUUAGAUUAGUGAACCUCUUAAGAAUCACAGUUUUUUAGUUUCUGUUGUCUUUGUGGAUUAUUUGACACAAUUCAACUCUUGUGUUGUAGCAUGGAUUGCUGGGCUCGUUCAAACAUUUCUCUACGCCGAUUUCUUCUACUAUUACUUCCAAAGGUAACAAAUACUUCCAUCUUUGGCCUCUUUGUUCAUUAAAGAUACACAGAACUCUUGACUAUAUGGUUUUGGUUUACCAUCACAGUUGGAAAAACAAUAAAAAGCUGCAGCUACCAGCAUAGUCUCUAAUUUUUCGAUGCUUAAGACGGGAAAUUUGGGAUUGAUUACUACUGGUUAUAGAAGAGAAGGUUAUAUAGAAUGUGUAAACUCUCCAGUGAUCUAACUUGUUGUACUUUUUAUUGUCAUAAAAACUGUUUUUGUUCUGCUUCAAGAUUAGUGUACUAAAUCCCUCUAUGAACAUUUAACAUUAUUUUGAAUGCUCUCAAGUAUAAAGAGUUAAUUUGUGGAAUAUAUAAACCGUAUUAAAUUGAGAUUUUAGCAUUCUAUUUGUGUAUCCUUCAAGUCACUGACCUUAAGGUUUGAGGCUGAUGUUUUGGUAACAUUGUGUAAUUUUCUUCUUAAAGAACAUCUCCAAUGAGUAAGAAGUAAGAAUAUUAAAAGUAAUGAUAAUCAAGACAUGGUAGGGAGAAUCAUAUAGUUAAUAAUUUAGUUGUAAAUUUUCAAUGAAUGCUAUUUAUGGUGUGAUGAUUUUUCUCUUGCGAAAUGAAUGUGGAACAUACUCAUUCACAAAUUUUGGUUCUUCAAAAUUAUAAAUAGCUUGAACUAUGUGAAUAGUGUUACUGAUUUAGAAUCUUUAAUCCAUGAACCAACAAUUAGAUAAAAGCAUUAUUAGUAAACUAGAAAUUCAAUGUUAUAAUAAAAUUAGUAGAUGACAUGAUAGAAAUAUAUUUUUGUGUUUAUAAGUACUUUUCAGUUUUCACAAGCCUCGACGAUUAACUUGAAUUUCGGUAAAAAUUAUUCAUUUCAAGUAUCAAAGUCAUAGUAAAGUUCUUAAAGGAUGAUCAUUUUUUGCAUCUUCUAAAGAAAAAACAAAUCUUUUUUUUUGUCAUCUCAAAAUAAUUAGAGCUCAAAAGAGCCAUUCCUGUGGAAUGUUGUUUACAAAUGUGAUAUGAAGCGGUUCUGUACGAAUUUUUCGUGCCAGAUGAUCUGCUUUUACAUUAGCAUUGCGAGAAAUUAAAGAUAAAGAGAAGGAUGAGAAUUCUUCCUUGUCGCUCUGAAAUUCCUCCAAGUACACUGAAAAUGCCGGCCAUUCGGUUGGAGAAGACACCAUCUUAACCAGAUCAGAACAGUUAUAAGGAACUCUACGUCUUGAUUAUCUGCACCUAUCAUACACUUCAUCGCCCAGAGAAGGGCCUCGAACUCGGUAUGUAAUGGAGAUAAACUUCGACGAAGAUUUGCAGCUCCCAUGGUUGGCGGCUCUCCGUUUGAUGAUGUACAGAACCAUCUUGUACCGGAGAACUUAUCACUUUCUUUCCACGAUCCAUCCACAAAGCAACGGUAUCCUGAAUAAAUUGAGUUAAGUGAAGUAUUCCCCACUCGAGACUGAUUAACCAAUUCCACAGUACCAUGAGUUUCAUGAUGAAGCUCAUUUUGGGCAGACUGCCACAAUUGUGCUUCUUUUUCCGCUAACCGUAAUACCUCUAAUGGAUCUUUAUCAAUAUUUUCAAAUAUUUUUCAUUCCUUGCUUUCCAUAUAUACCAGAUAAUCCAUGGAAAAGCUGAAGAGUCAAAUUCCGAAGGUAUUCUCCAAAAUAAAUGGUCCAAAUUCGCAAAAAUAGACUCCGUUGGAAAAAUUCCCAUUGAUGUAGGAAUCUGAGAGAGUGCCCAAACAUGUCGUGCCGGGUGACACUAAAAGAUUGUAUGAUUGAUUGUUUCCACUGGUUCGCCACAUCUAGCACAACCUGUAUCACAAUCAAUUCCUCUUCUCCGUAAAUUUUCCGUAACUGGUACACAACCCAUUAAAAUUUGCCAUAAGAAAUGACAUAUCUUAGGUGGACAAUGCACUUGCCAAGAAUGUGCUUUUAGCGGUUUUAUGUCUGGACCAAUCAAUGAGAGAAUUGUCUCCAAAUUUCCUAACCGUGCGGUAUGAUAUCACGAUUUGACUGUAUAUUUUCCGAAUCUUGUAAAAUGCCAACCCAGUGUAUCCUCCUUAGUUGGCGUACCCAUAGGCAGAGCACUUAUAGAAAAAAACAAAUCUUGUCAAUAUAACAAACUAUUAAUUAGAGGUUAAAACGAAAAUAGUCAUUGUCAAUGCAUUAAAAACGAAUUUAACAAAUCAGCGUCCCAUCAAUACUCUUUAAUACUAGAUAACACGUUUAUGUGUAUGUAUAGGUGUAGAUGAGUGUCCGCGUGAAAACAGCCAUAACCCUAGUAUCUAUAGGUGGUGAUGAUAUGCUAAUAAAUAUGAUUUAUGAUUAUGUAAAAAUGGUAUAUAAUCUCGUUGGUCAAGAAAUGUGAAAGGAUCAAUAAAAGUUGUCAAGAAAACAAUUAAGAUGGAAUAUAUUUUGAUCUUUGGUUUUGUUUCGACACUGUUGUUGAUCAUUAAGACUGAUGCUACUAGGGUUCAUGGAGUUAAAAGAAUUGACAUAAACCAAGAAGCUGGUUUUGAUGAGAACUAUGUGGUUACAUGGGGACAAGAUCACGUCUUCAAAUCCUACCAAGGCAAAGAAGUUCAGCUCUCCAUGGAUUAUUCUUCAGGUUCUUUCAUUUGUUCUUUUAUUUCUUUUUUUAGAUACAAUUUACGAUGUUUUUCUUAGAAUUAUUGCGUGUAUUGAUUUUAUAACCCGUACAGGUUCUGGCUUUGAGUCCAAAAACCACUACGGUUCAGGACUUUUCCAAAUGAGAAUCAAAGUGUUUGGAAACAAUUCUGCUGGUGUUGUCACUGCCUUUUACGUUCGUAUUCUUUCUCUAUAGUCAUUUUACAUGAAUUUGGAUUCUCACCAUUGGUGAAACUUUUUUAUGUAUAUAAUAUUUGUGAAUUGGUUAUAGUUGACUUCUAAAGGAGACACCCAAGACGAGGUUGACUUUGAGUUCUUGGGGAACAUAGAAGGCAAACCAAUAACAUUACAGACAAAUGUGUACACUGAAGGCAAAGGAAAUAGAGAACAAAGGUUUUCUCUUUGGUUCGAUCCAACUACUGAUUUCCACACUUAUGGCAUUCUUUGGAAUCCAUAUCAUAUCGUGUACGUACUUUCUCCUCUCUAUGAAUACUAAAUGAGUAAUCCCGUUCUGUGCGAUUUUUUUUUUGUUUUAUGCAUUUGUAAAUUUUUCGUUUAAUUAUUUUUACGUUUUGACCAAACAACAAAAAGUAUUAUUUUUACGAAAGAAAAUUUCUAAUAAUAAUUUUUUUAUUGUUUAUCCGAGUUGUUUAUCAUUGAUAUCUUGACAUAGGGGUCAACUUGAACCAUCUAGUGUUAAAGUUCUAUUGAUUUAUCUGAAUUUUGUAUAAUUUUUUUGACGUAAAGUUAAACUUAUUCGCUUUUAUUUUCUUGUUAUUUGUGUUAAUAUUGAAUUAUUCUCGUUAAAAUAGCCAUUUUUCUGUUUUAAAGACUUUUCAAAAUAGGUACGGUGUAGAAUAUAUAUAUUACAACUAAAACUUUGAGAGAUUUAUGAAUCAUAGAAGAUAAGAGAUGAAUAAGUUUUAUGGUUAGUGAAAAAUCUAACAUGCAUAUAAAAGUAUUUGAAACACUAAAAAAAAAAAAGGAUGAACGGAACUUCGUCUAUUUUGUUAUUUUUGAUAAACAUAUCUAUGUAUAUAUUUAUGACGAUGUGAGUGUCAAUCAUGGAUUGAUUUCAUUAGACUAUUGUAUAUACGAUUAUAAAAUCAACAACAAUAUAUAAUCCAAACAAUAAAAGACAAUGAAUUCCACACUCUAUAUAUAGAUUAUUAAUAGUGUUGAUUUAUAUUUAUAAAGACAAGCUUUUUAAUAGUGUUGAUUUAUAUUUAUAAAGACAAGCUUUGUUUAUAGGUUUUACGUGGAUAAUAUCCCAAUAAGAGUGUUCAAUAACAAUACAAGCACUGGCAUGAGCUAUCCAUCAAAGCCUAUGCAAGUGGUGAGUAGUUUGUGGAACGGAGAAAAUUGGGCAACAGAUGGUGGCAAAACCAAGAUUAAUUGGGCCUAUGCUCCAUUUAAGGCCAAUUUUCAAGGUUUCUCCGACUCCGGUUGUCAUGUCGAUGAUCUGAGUAACAAUUCCAAAGCUUGUGGUUCAUCAAUGUAUUGGUGGAACACCAUGAAGUAUAAUUGUCUUAGCAUCUACGAGCAGAAAGUCUACAAGAAUGUUAGAGAGAAAUAUAUGAACUAUGACUAUUGUUCUGAUCAAGCUAGAUUUCCUAUUUUUCCUAAUGAAUGUCGAUAUAAUGAAAUAUAAUAAUAGUCUUUUAUUACAAAUAUACCAUGAAACAUCAAAUUCUUUUCGUUCAUGGUAACUCUAUAUUGACAGUUUUUGAACAACCACAGAAGUCAAUCAAUUUAAUAGAAACAUACUUACUUACAGGUAAGAAGAUUUUGGUAUAACAUAUGAGAAUAAUAGCAUAUUGCCACAAGACUUUAUUUGAAGUUUUGCCCCUAGUUCUACAUAGUGACUUAAGUAAUAAUUUUUCAAAUUGUAGUGUCUUGCAUACUUCUAAAUGCAAGAAAUAUAAUCUUAGUAUUUAUAAGUUGAUUCUUCCAAAAAUACACGAGGUGUAUUUGUUACUUGAUUGGCAUCACAAACACAAGUCGUGAUCUACUUAGACUAAUCCAUAUAUCUAACUUACGAUAUGUGAUGUGAUCAUGGAUAGCUCGGACAAUGGAGAUAUGGAGCUGCUUGAACCUGAGAAGCUUGGAGCUAGGAAGCAGCUUGUAGCUGAGGAAAAUGGAGCUAAGGAGCAGCUUGUAGCUGAGGAAAAUAACGCAAAAGAAGUUAUCUUAACCUCGUUGGUUUUGAUACAUGAUCAACAAAUGGGCAUGUGUCUCAUUUGUACUCUUUUUCCCUUAUCUUUGGUUUUAUCCCAAUGGGUUUUCCAAAGAAAGGUUUUUAAUGAGGCAAAUGAUUCACAUCCAAAUCACCCAUUUGAUGAUCAAGACCGGGCCAGAAUAUUCAGAAAAUCUUCCAAGGUGUUAGCUAUCAAGUCCAGCCCAUUUUAUUGCCAUUACAAGCCCAAGAAGACUCCAAACCAAGUGCUUAAUUUGCUGGCCAAGAGGAGUGACGAAAAUAGGAGUUCAAGAGUCAUCUUUGAAGCCAAAGGGUCUUUUCUAUUCAAAUUCUAUCUUUAAUAUUUUGUUAAGUUUCUAGGCAGCCUUGGAGCUUGUUCCAAGACUUGUCUCUCUACAUUCUCUUCUCUCCUUCUCCUCUAUAUAUUCUCUAUGUAUUCUCUUAUGAGAACUUAUCAAACAUUUUAUCAAAAAUCUCUCUUUUACUUGUUUGAUCCGAGAAGUGCGUAAUAUCUUCUCAACUUGUUUCCUUCUUAGUGUGUAAUAUCUAAGUUGUAUUCAAGCUCGUAGUCUAAGAGAUUUCCACCUCUCUUGGAAGUACAAAACGUUCCACCUUCAAUCCGCUGCAACAGUUCAUCCGUUUGUCCGUUCAUCUUCCACUUACGAUCUCGCUCUUCUUCUAUUCCGCUGCAUCCUUCAUGUUCAAAACCAACAAAGUGUGUUCUUGGGAAUAGAUCCUCAUCUAGGAAUCUAUCAAUAUGUAACGUUAAUUGGUGGUUGUGGAUUUGAUCCUUUCAUUAUACUGCGAUUCUAUAAUCAUGGACUUGCAUAUUGAUAUCUCUUCAUUGUUGACCUCACAAACAUUGUUAACUCUACAAUAAAAUAAAAUAAAAUUGUAUGUGGAUAGAAUUAUAUUUCCAUUUAAAAUUUAGGAUAAUUUCAGUGAAUUAUAUUGCUCAUAUGAUCAAACAACCUUUUGUAAAUUGCUAUUACUUUUUAUUACAUCUGGUUUGGUUUUACUAAAAUAGUUAUUAAAUUUAAUACUAAUAGUUUAGUAUGUUGACCAAAAUGAAAAUUCAUUGAUAUCUUAUAAAUUUUGACCAAAUAGUUAUUUUAUAACCAAUUUCUAAAAAUAGUUUUUUUUUUCUUCGAAAACUCUGUCCAUCAUGACUUUUAUUUUUACCAAAUAAUAAUUUAGUUGUAUGUUGACCAAAAUAAAAAUUCAUUGAUAUAUAUGAGAUAAUGCUUGCUACUUUUUAUUUUAUUUUAAAGAUGAUGAUAUGUCAUCAUACGUAAGAAUUCCCAUUUUGGUUUUGUAUAACCAAAUAGUUAAAAGGAAACAUUUCUAUUAAAAAUUUGUUGACCAAAAUUUUGGUUCAAAUGUAAUUUAGUUGACGUAGAAUUUGAGAUAAUUACUUCCAUUUUGUAGAAAAUACCCAAAUAAACCUCUAAUUAAUCCACUAACACACACGAAUAUAAAUAGGGGAGCUCUCUCUUUUCCCUGAGAAUAUACUCAAGCUGGCAUUUAAAAUGAAUAUGAUAAAAUAUCUAUUUGAAUUUGUUUCAGUAUUGUUCUUGAUGUUUACGGCUAAUACUAGAGCUCGUGGUCGUGGAGGUACUGAUUUCGAUGUGCACUAUGUCGUUACAUGGGGACAAGAUCACAUCUUGAAACUCAACCAAGGGAAAGAAGUUCAGCUCUCCAUGGAUCAGUCUUCAGGUUCAUUUUUAUUUUUAUAUAUUUUACUUUCAAAAUACGACGUCACGCGUUUAAUUUUAAGGAUUUAUGAGUGUAUUGAUUUCAAAGUUAAUCAUCUAUCCUUUACAUUGUUUUUAUGACUGUUUUUGUGUCAACACCUAAAUUCAAACAAGCAUAAGGCGUAUUGUUAAUAAAGAAAUAUACAACACAAAUAUGUAUGAUAUAAAUGUAUACAAAAGAUAUCCAAAUGAAUAGUUUGACACAACCUACAAUACCAACAGGUUCUGGCUUUGAGUCUAAAAGCCACUACGGAUCAGGAUUCUUCCAAAUGAGAAUCAAAUUGCCUCCAAGAGAUUCCGCGGGCGUUGUCACAGCUUUCUACGUACGUUCACAUUUAUCCUAUUCAAUGCAACAUUUUUUUUCUAAUUUUCAUUUCAUUACAUUGAUUUUGGAAUUCCAUCAUUGAGAAUUUGUUUCUUUAUAUAUUUGGGUAAUUACAGUUGACUUCGAAGGGAAACACCCACGAUGAGGUUGACUUUGAGUUCUUGGGGAAUAGACAAGGAAAACCAACAGCAAUUCAAACAAAUGUGUUUACCAAUGGACAAGGAGGUAGAGAACAAAAGUUUGUUCUUUGGUUCGAUCCCACUACAAGUUUCCACACUUAUGGGAUUCUUUGGAAUCCAUAUCAUAUUGUGUAAGUUAUUUUGUUCUUCUCCUUCAUUUCUCUUCAUGCAUCAAUCUUUUUUAUAUUUCAAGUCCCAUGCACCUAUUUAGGUCAAACUUAUGGGGUGAUUUGUUAACAGGUUUUACGUGGACAAAGUUCCAAUAAGAGUAUUCAAGAAUAACAAAAGAAGUGGCGUGAACUAUCCAUCAAAGCCCAUGCAACUUGAGACUAGUUUGUGGAACGGUGAGGCGUGGGCAACAAACGGUGGUAAGGACAAGAUUAAUUGGGCCUAUGCUCCUUUUAAGGCCCAAUUCCAAGGCUUCUCCGACCAUGGUUGUCACGUAAAUGGUCAGAGCAAUAUUGCGAACGUUUGUGGUUCGACAAAGUACUGGUGGAACACAAGGACGUAUAGUAGGUUAAGUGCAAAUGAACAGAAGGCAAUGGAGAAUGUGAGAGCAAAGUACAUGAACUAUGAUUAUUGUUCUGAUCGGCCUAGAUAUCCUGUUCCUCCUAGUGAAUGUCGAUGGAAUAUAUAGAUGAUGAAUAGUAAAACAUACUUUUAUAAAAGGGAAAUAAUACACACAUAUUUGAUAUCUUAUAUAAAUAUUUCAAAGUUCUCUUAAUCUAUAGCAAACGAUAUAAUCGAUUAAUAAUGUACUUUAUAAUAAUGAUAAAGACUUUAGAAAAUAUUCAUAGAAGAAAGUUCAAGAAAAAGAGAAGGAAAAAACGGUGCCGAUUCUGUUUGAUUAGGAGGAGAUGAGUUGAUCCUAUAAUUUUCCUACGUACUAGAUUAUGACCCGUGCUAUACAGCACGGGGUUUUAUUAUUAUUUUUUAAAAUAUAUUGUUCAUUUAAUUUGAAAUAUGUAAAAAUAACAUAGUGUAAUAGUUUAGUAUAAAAGGGAAUUAAUCAUAUAGUUUUAUGUUUAUUACUAUUUGGACAUUAUAUUGUGUAGUAGUUAUUUGACGAUAAUUUGUAUAUUUUGAUUGUAGAAGUAAAUAAUACUAUAAAAUUUAUUUUAGAUAUAUUUUCCUUAUAAUAGUUGGUUACUUUAAUUUAUAUUGUUUAACACUACAUGAAUUUUAAUUUGGUUGAAGACAUGAAUUGCUAAUAAAAUGAUGUAGUAUAUAUUAUCUUAGAAUUGAAUAUAUUUAGUUGCAUUAGAUUUGUAUUUUGUUUUAUAAGAUUAACAAUUUAUUUAGUUUAAGUAGUAAUUGAUAAUUAGAUAUAAAAAAGAAAUUGUUGUAUUGGUCUGAGUUGUUUAGUGGGCUAUUUUGGGUUUAUUUGGCCCAGUUUGUUUGUUUAAAAAAAAAAAAAAAAAACAACAAAAAAAAAAAACAGAUCGGCAAACGGGAAAUUUCCGACAGUUAAUCCCAGAAAACUAAUGUCGAAUUCUACCCAAAUUUUUUUCAAAUUCGACCUCAAAGACAACAUAGAUUGAAUUUCUUGCCCAAUCCGUUCAUAUAUUUCGAGUAAUUGAAGCACGUCGGAGUGGUGAUCAAAGGUAAAAUUCAAACCGAACGAUUUUGUUUAUAAGUUACAGAAAUCGAUUAAUUAAGUUCAUGAGCUGAUUGAUGAUUAUAUCGAUUUAAGAGACAAUGAAUUAUGUAAUAUCUGAUUGCAGAACUGAAUGAAAUUCUCCAAAAUGAAGUUGUCGAUGAAAAUGAGUUGUGAAGAAGAAGAUCAGCGAAAAAUCUAAACAGGGUUGAUCUACUUUCAGCAAGCAACUCAGGAACAGCUGAUUGCAACAUUAGACCAACACAGAAAUGUCCAGGUAAUUGAUCAUGACCAAUUUUGUUUAUUAGUUAGACAAAUUUAUCAAGUAUGUUCUUGAACUGAUUGAUGAUUAGAUCGUAAAAAAUUUGGUAACAAAUGAAACAUUUGAUUUUGAAACAUGUAGAUUAGAACAUUGAAUUCAUAAUAGAAAUGUAGAAUCGAUAUACUGAGUUAAACAAAGUGAUGGCAUCUAUUUGUUUAGAAGAAGAAAAAUGUCUAUAAACUAAAAUUCGAGUGUGAUAAAUAAAUGAAAGAAAAACCAAAAAAUGUAAAACUUGAAAUCUAAUGUUGUUUCUUCUUCAAGUGCAGAUGAAUGAUUUUUGAUAGUAGGAUUUUAACUAAGGUCAAUUAUCCUUAAAUCACUAUCAUGUCAUUGUAGUAUUUAAGGUGUCAAUCCAAAUGGGUGUGAUGCUAGCAAUCAAGAUGCAGUCAGAUUUCACAGAGUCAAGCCAAGCAAUAACAGGUUUUGAUGUUGUUAACAGUUCCAGUGAUCAUGCAGAAAACAAUAAUUCUAAUAUAAACAGAUAACACACUCGAUCACACAGCUUGAUGCCAAGCACUGGAUGUGGUCGAGUGCCAGGUCGAGUACCAAACAGAAACUGCAACAAAUGUACUCGACUGCACAGUUCGUUUCCAAACCGCUGGGUGUGGUCGAGUACUUCAAGUGAAAUAAGUAAAAAUGCAAAAACUAAGCAACAAGUAACGAGAUCAAGCAAUCAAUAGCGAUGUGAACAAAGAAAUCAAUUGGAAGAGAAAUUCCCGAGGAUGGGGUAAUCGAGUAGUGAAGUCUCCUUAAUCUAACAGGUGGUUAACAUGCUCAACAAACUAUCCCUAGACAACAAGUUCAAUAGCCAAAUCAAAGUGCUACCGCAACAGAGAUCCUCAAGCAAAGCUAGUCCCAGACUCAAUCACCAUUGACGAGAGCUAACCUAACAGGCAUUACGAAACAACAAGUCUAAGCCAAAACGCUCCCUGUAACCAAUACCUUGGUACAGAGCCACGAAUCUCUGGAAUUAGUGGUUCAGACAUUUCAUCGAACACCUUUUGGGUGCAGAAAUGUCUGGGCUCAGAUUCCAGUUGAUCAGAAAGCAAUCAGCAUUAAGAACAACUAAUCCAGAAGGGAUCUACCAAUCAAACUCAACCACCUAGCAGAUCAAGGAUUCUAAACUACUCUAACUCAUCCUCAAGAACCCUAAUCACUACUCAAAAUUCAUAACCAAGAACACAAACCCAGAAAUACAUAAAAACUUCAUAUUAGCAAGAUCUCAACAAGAUGAACAACUUUGUAGAAGAAAUCAAAAGCAAAUACUCAAUAGAUUAAGAGAACUCUGGAUUACAAAUAUGAAGAAAGCAAUAAUUGUUCUGCAGAAUAAAAAACUUCGUCUGAAAAUUAUGAGAAACAACCUAUUUAUAGCAAAUACUAGAAAACCCUAAAUCACAAAACGACAAAGUAUUAAGGCGGUUUACGGAGACAUUCGGCUUCGUGCAAUCGAGUGAAGAGGUCGAGCAAAGCUGGCUCCUUUGCGGUUUCUUGAUAUGGUCGUGAUGCGAUCGAGUGACUAGGUCGAGUAUGCACUCGAGUCCCGCUUCAUCUUCUUCUCUUCCUUAUGCUCAGUGUCUGGUUGAGUUGGGAUCUGAGAAGCCUCUGAAGCGUGCAGUCGAGUGCUUGGUCGAGUAAGUUGGUGGAGGAUACUCGACUGCGUGCUCGAGUCGUGAUCUGGAGUCGUGGUCUACUUGGCGAAGGAGAGGGUACUCGACCACGAGGUCGAGUGGUAGGUCGAGUUUGUGAGGAAGAGGGUACUCGACUUGGUGCUCGAGUUGGUGAUCAACUUGGUGCUCGACUUGGUCGUGGUCGAAUGCAUUUGGAAGGUCAUGAUGAUGGUGCUCGACCUCGUGGUCGAGCAUACUGAUGGGUUCUGGUCCACUUCUUUCAAUUUGCUCACCAACAGCUCCAAAUCACCUGAAAACAACUCAAAUAUGCAACAUGCAUGCAAAACUAUCCUAAUCAUGCAAAGUGAUGACAAAUGAUGAAGAAUGGUAUGAAACAAUGACGAAAUGAUGAUAAAGUGAUGCUAAAUGGAUGCUCAAAACAAGUAAAAUAUAGACAUAUCAACUCCCCCAAACUUAGUCUUUGCUUGCCCUCAAGCAAACAAUUAAGAACAAGCUGGAGGAGAGGUUUGAAAGCGGGGAUUCAGAACCAAAGCAUGCAGACAAAGCAAAUGAACUCAAUGUCCAAGUUAGUAAUUGUGGAAUGCUUAGAGACCAAACUCUACUUAAAAACUUUAGCCAUAUUCAUCACAAGACAACCUAACAUUUGUUCCAAUCUACACACACCUUCAGAUCAUCAAUUCCCUUUAACAUUGAUUAAGCUCAAACCAUGAAUCAAGCAAAACAUUGUUGAAGAACUCAUUUGGUUUAAAGGACAAGGCUGAGAAACAAAGAUGGUUCCUCUGUAAAUGGUUUCAGACUUUUUCACAGUAACAGGGAACUCUCAUGAAUGGACAGAGCUUUAGUAGAAUGCUAAAGGUUAGAACCAACCUACGCAUACAAGAACAGACCCCAUCUACCCAAAUAACCAAAAGCAUAUCAAACUCCAUAGAUGGUCCUAUCUCUAAACCCCAGAAAUGAUCCUAAUUCUACCCUUUGCACUCAAGGCAUGUUUCGAUAAUCUCUUGGAUCAACCCAUUCUUUCUUUUUGGUUUUGUUCUAAGUAGAGGUUUUCUUUUAGACUUUCUAGUGGAUUGGGACUUUCUUUAACAACUAAGGCUCUUCUUCUCAUCUCAUGACUUAAGACAACUCUAGGCUUUUGCCUUUCUUUUUACUUUGCACAGAGCCUAACUUUUUUUAUUUUCAAACUUCCCAAAUCCUUUACUAGGCUAACAAGAUAUUCUUUUCUGUUUCACUUCCAUCUCCUAAGAACAAUAACACUUGUCUUUCUUUCUCAUUUUCUUUCCAAACACAUUCCAAAACCCAAAGUAAAACUCCCACCUAGUCCUAUCUAGCCCAAAAAGCGUGGACUAGAACUACAUGGGAUACUAUUCUUGUCGGUUCAUACCUAACACUUUCUACCAAGCUCAAUCCGGAAAUAGGCCUCACACACACACAAAUUUAUUCAGGGCUUGAAAGAAAGGUUAGGUUCAGGGUGGGGGAAACUGUUCCAAUGAUGGGAAUCAGCUACUUGGAUUAGCAAGAGUGGUAGAAGGUGAAAGAAAAUCCAAGUAUGUGUAUUGGUAGCCACAAGUUCAACAACAAUGCAAAGACACGAUAAUUAUAAGUCAAGUUCAGGUUUUAAUAGAUAGGGAAAAGAAUCACAUCAAGCAUGCUUCAAUUAAAACAAGAGAGUCAAGUUGUGAAUUCCAAAUAUGGUGCUGUUUUACUUCAAGUUCUAUCACAAGCAUUAAACAACUAACAACGAGGGCAUUGAAUUCAUUCAGUAAAUGAGCAAGCUUACAAGGUUAUCUCAUCAUCAUCCCCUAUGCAAAUGCAACAAUCCUAUAUGAAACCUUCUAGACUCAAUCUUAAAAUGAAAAUGCAACUACAUGAACACUCUAUUUUUGUGAAAUCAUUUUCAAAAAAUUUUCAAAUUUUUAGGGUUUUUUCAAUAACAUAGAUGAAUGCAGACAAUAUGUACAAUGCAAGAAAAAUUUGAAAACAAGAACAAAGCAAACACAUCAGAUACUUCCUGAGCCCUCCCCCAAACUUAAAUCACACAGUCCGCUGUGUGACCAAAUUUGGAAGAGAGUACUCAGGACAAAAACAACACAGAAACAAAAUAAACAUAAGAUGGUAUUUGACAAUGGUGAAUGGUAGUGCUUACCUCAGUUGAAGUAAGAUUGCAGGUGAUCAUCCUUGUUGCGUUUCAGCUUCUCCUUCCUGUUGGUGCUCGACGUCCCUUCUCCUUCUGCGGCCAGCACCGUGGUCGAGUGUGCUCCUGGAGCGCAUUAGCAGCGUUGUGCUGUUGGAACGGGCAAGUACAGCCUUCUUUCUCCUCUUGUGUUCUCGAGGCUCGUGUGAUGAGCGCCUUGCAGGGACUGGAGAGAUUUCAUGCGCACUGGGCUCAGGCUCAUCAUAUCUCCUCGAAGGCAUGUCUUGAGGAGGCUGUCUUUGUGGUACUGCUGUGCUGGAAGAAGAGCAGCUAACUAUGGACUUCAGAGACUUCAUACCCUUUAUGAGCUUGUUGAUGUACUUGUCCUGCUUCUUGCACCACUUCUGCAAUAGGCUCUGGUUUUUGUGAGCUUCACUCAAGCUCUUACUCUCUCUUGCUGGAGCCACGUGUUCCCUGAAAUGAUACAUACUUGUAUCAUAUGGCUCUUCCCAAUCUAUUUCCAUCUCAUCAUUCUCAUCAUCUGCAGCUUCUUCUUCUGCAGGAACAGCCUCGUGCGUUGGCUGAGCUAUCUCGACGUACAGGUCCUCAACUGAAGGUUCAAAGUUGAUGUUAUAUCCCUCUAUUAUGCGUGUAAGCUCAGGGCGGGGAAGAAGGAUGUUGGCUCUCUUGGUUGUGGGGUGCUCAAAGCGAUAUCUAUACAUGUCGCCAACCAUCGCACGCUCCAGGAAUUCAAUGUGAUGUAGGUGUUCAAUAUCCAUCCACUUCCAUUCAUGUCCCUUGGAGACGAUGGGGACUCCACAUGCAAUCAGAAUUGGUGUCACCACACCUCCUAUGCAGAGAGAACCUCGUGCUCUCUUGUUAUUAUUGGAGACAGCCCAUUUCUUGUAACCACACAGGUGGAGCAACAAGAGAAUAACAAGAGGUGUGUCAUUGGUAUCGCCGUGCAGAAUCUGAUUGUUAUUGGCCCGAUGGAGAGUGCCUUUGAGAGCCAUGGAGAUCAUCUCCAUAUCAGUGUUGGUGACCGUCCCUGUAGCUUCUCUGGAGUAAAGAACAUGAGCUACUGAGCGUUGGAAGUACCUGACGACCGGGCUGCGGAUUUGAUUACUCUUUGAUCUCGAAGAGUUAAGCGCUGAGGUGCUGCCAAUGGUGAGCCAUAGAUUCUUCAGCUCGCUUCUAUCAAACCUCUGUUUGGUUCCCGUUCCACUGGGGAAUGCAAACAGUCCUUCCAACCGUUGGAUUGUCAGCAUGUAGUCCUGCCCAUGCACUGUGAAUGUGAUGAAGCCCAACCCGUCGCUUCGCAACUCGUCUGUAGUCAUUCCUUGGUAGAUUUCCACUUGUAGACUCGAAAGAAACUGUAUCGUUUCAUCCUCAUAAGCAACAUAGGGGUAACUCAUCAGAGUGUCCAGGUGACAACUCUGGAACAGGUGCUCGACAUCUUUCAGCAACCCCAGCUUCUCUAACGUCUUAGGACAUGGAUACCUUGUUCCACAGAAUUCAUUCAAGUAGAAGAGUCUGAUGUACUCUUCAACUGGAAACUCAUCAGGUUUGUUCAGGAACUUUGUAGGUCUGGGAGAAGGUUCAGGGACAUCCUCAUCUUCCAAGUCAUCUAAAUCCUCAUCUAUUAGCUCAUACCCUGCUGUCAUUUCUCUCUUCCCACGAGCUAUCUCAGCUCUCCUUCGGAAGGUUUCAUAUUCCUCCUGUUCUCUUGCUGGUCUUGAAGACCAUGAUUCUGAAUCAUCAACAUUGUAAUCAGAAUCUGCUAAAGGACCACCAGUGUAAUUGCUCAUGUUGAUUCCUGAGAAUUUUCAAAACUCAAAGCUCAAAAGUUAACAGGUUAGUGUUAAGAGAUUAUACAAAGCGAAACUGGUUUGAAAGAUAAACCAUUUUCUCCUGUAAAAUCGAGUAUCCAGUCGAGUACUGUGGCUUGUCUGGUUGAGAAUUGCGAAUCGUUGGUGAAGAACGCGAUAGCAAGGGUGAGGAGCGGUCGAGUAUGGUUCAAGAUGGAGGUCAAGUACUUGAGCAAUCUCUGGUGAUGAGGUCGAAUAGCGGGAAUCGCCAGUUAAGAGAAGGUAGUCGAGUGGUGAGAUGGUGACUUCGAAGAAAUGCAAAACGGUGGUGAAUAGAAGGUGCGGUCGAGUACAGAUGUCGAGCACUUCUGGUUGGGCGUGAACUAGCUUUUCUUUGAAACAUGGUCGAGUUUCGUGAAAAGGGAGUCGAGUGAGCAGCUUGGCGAGGUGAACUUUGCUUCUGUUUACUCCAUGGUCUUCUUCUCCGGUGAAAUCGCGUUUGGUGGUAAAGUGAGAUAACGAAGCGAGAAUAAAGCAAAGAGAUAAAGUGAUUUGUGAAAUGGGUGGUAAAUCGAGGGAAUGGUGGAGGUGGUGAAGUUAGAGAAAUGGUGACUUGCGGUUUGACGUGUUUGGAUGGGAUGAGAGUUGAGAGGAAGAAGAUGAUGAAUAGAGACUCGUGAGCGAAAGAGAUGAAGAGAGGUAUGUGUGUUUGCUAUUUAGGAGAGAGUGAGUGAUGAGAGAAAGAUGAUAGUGUCGGUGGGAGAAGAAGGAGUGAGAUGAGUGUUAACCUUUUAGUGUUUGGAUAGGAUGAGGGCGAUCUCAAAAGGAGUGGUGGAGAAUGAAUUGAUGAUUCUCUUCAUCUUCAAAAGCGCGUGGGAAGACAGAGAGUAAAAGCGGUGGGCCAUGCUCUAUCUCUUUACCUUGAAUCAUUUUUUUCUGUUGACUGGGAAAGUCUUAGAACAACCCGCAAUCUUCUGUAAACUCAAUCAUUCUUCUGUAAGUCUCUGUGAUCUCUGUUGGUCGAGUAUAGUGAUGACAUUUAAAAAUUUUGGGCCAAAAUCAUCACAUAUACUCGACCACAUCUCCUCAUUACCAAGUGGCUUCGCGUGAUAGAGUGGUAAGUCGAAACUUCAAAAUUCUUGAGACGAAAACCACUUUGAUACUCGAUUACACAGCUCCACUUGCUCUUUGCCCUUGUGGUUGAGUAUUGUGUUGAACUCUCAGAGCCAGAAUCCACUUCACUCAGCUCAUGACACUUAUUUCCUGAAAGCACUACCAAAAUGCAUUAAAAAUAACAAGGAAAGUAAAAAUAUGUACAGGGAUAGACAUGGGACUUCCUCCCAAGUGAGCUUGUUUUAAGUCUCUAAGCUUGACUCCUUACUCCCUUAAGCAUCAAGAGGUUCCUGGAGAUGAACUGAGGUCACCUCUGGGAAGAUUUGAUCUGCUAAGUAUUUCUUGAGUCUUUGGCCAUUCACUGUGAAAUCUCCACUCUUACCAGCUAGAGUGACUGCUCCAUAAGGGCGAACUUCAGUAACACAGAAGGGACCAGACCAUCUAGACUUGAGCUUUCCUGGAAAGAGUUUCAGGCGAGAAUUGAAUAGCAGCACUUGAUCACCAACUUGGAAGUCCUUGGUGAUGAUCUUCUUAUCAUGGAAAAGCUUAGUCCUCUCUUUGUAGAUUUCAGAGCUUUCAUAAGCUUCCAACCUAACUUCAUUGAGAUCAUUCAGCUGGAUCAACCUCUUCUCUCCAGCAGUUUUGAUGUCGUAAUUCAGAAGCUUCACAGCCCACAUAGCCUUGUACUCGAGCUCAACAGGUAAGUGACAGGAUUUUCCAUAGAGAAGGUUGAAGGGAGUUGUACCAAUAGGGGUUUUGAAUGCUGUCCUGUAAGCCCAUAGUGCAUCAUCUAGCUUUGCAGACCAGUCUUUCCUUGUAGUCCCAACAGUCUUCUCCAGAAUUGCUUUUAUCUCCCUGUUGGAGAUCUUAACCUGACCACUUGUCUGUGGAUGAUAAGGAGUGGCUACCUUAUGCUUCACUCCGUGUUUCUUCAAUAAGUUCUCAAAGACUUUGUUGAUGAAGUGUGUACCUCCAUCACUGAUGACGACCCUUGGUAUACCAAAUCUAGGGAAAAUUAUGGUUUUAAACAUCUUCAGAACCACCCUUGAGUCAUUUGUCGGACUUGCAAUGGCCUCAACCCACUUGGACACGUAGUCCACUGCUACCAAGAUGUAUUUGUUCCCAUAGGAAGAAGGGAACGGCCCCAUAAAGUCGAUUCCCCAGACGUCAAAGAUUUCUACCUCUAGUAUAGGAUUUUGUGGCAUUUCAUUUCUUCUGCUGAUGUUUCCCUUCCUUUGGAAUGAGUCACAUCUUGAUAUGAACUGCUGGGCGUCUUUGAACAUGGUUGGCCACCAGAAGCCUGCUUGCAGUACCUUAGAUACUGUCUUAAAAGUCGCAAAGUGACCACCAUAUGUUGAACCAUGGCAGUGAAGUAAGAUGUCUUCCACUUCCUCCUCUGAGAUACAUCUUCUGUAAAUUUUGUCUUUACAGAGAGUGUAAAGAUAUGGCUCAUCCCAGUAGUAGUGGUUGAUAUCUCUGAAAAACUUCUUCUUUUCAUAACUGGUCAGGUUGGGAGGCUCUACUCCGCAGGCCAAGUAAUUGACAUGAUCAGCAUACCAUGGAGAUUUUCCUUCAACAGCAUUCAGUUGGUGAAACUCAUUCCCACUGUAAUUCUUUCCAAAGAAUUCUGUAACCAUGAGUUGCUCCUCUGGCAUCGAAUCAUCAAUAGGGACUUCAUCAUCGAUCCUCAUCCUUGAUAAGUGAUCAGCUACACCGUUCUCUAUACCUUUCUUGUCAACUAUUUCCAUGUCAAACUCUUGCAGAAGUAGUAUCCAUCUCAAUAGUCUUGGCUUAGUGUCCUUCUUUGCAUAAAUGUGUCUCAAGGCUGCAUGAUCUGUGUAGACUAUGACUUUAGAACCCACCAAGUAGCUUCUAAAUUUUUCAAACGCAAAAACAACUGCCAAUAACUCCUUCUCUGUUGUGGCAUACUUCACCUGAGCAUCAUCCAUUGUUCUACUUGCGUAAUAGAUGACAUGGAGCUUCUUGUCAAUCUUUUGUCCCAAGACUGCUCCUACAGCGUAAUCUGAGGCGUCACACAUGAUUUUGAAUGGAUAGUCCCAGUUUGGAGCUUGGACUAUUGGAGCUGAAAUCAGAGCUUCCUUGAUGAGUUGAAAAGCUUUCAGGCAUUCCUCAUCAAAAUCAAACUCUGUUUCCUUACACAGCAGCCUUGUCAUUGGUCUUGCCAGCUUAGAGAAAUCUUUGAUAAACCUUCUAUAAAACCCAGCAUGUCCCAGAAAACUUCUCACAUCUUUGACACUCCUUGGUGCUUGCAGUUGCACCAUAACCUCAAUCUUUGCUCUGUCAACCUCUAUACAUUUCUCUGAAAUCUUGUGCCCCAAUACAAUGCCUUCUUUGACCAUGAAAUGGCAUUUUUCCCAGUUGAGUACCAAGUUCGUCUCUUCACACCUAGAAAGUACCCUGCACAAGUUUGACAAACAAGAGGAGAAGGAGGAGCCAUACACGGAAAAGUCAUCCAUGAAUACCUCAACCAUCUCCUCAAUUAAAUCCGAGAAGAUAAAAGUCAUGCACCGCUGAAAUGUAGCUGGUGCAUUACAGAGACCAAAAGGCAUUCUUUUAUAUGCAAAGGUUCCAUAUGGACAUGUGAAUGUAGUUUUCUCUUGAUCAUUAGGGUGAAUUGGUAUUUGAAAGAAACCACUAUAACCAUCAAGAAAGCAGUAGUAUGGGUGAUUAGCUAACCUUUCUAGCAUUUGAUCAAUGAAUGGAAGUGGAAAAUGAUCUUUCCUAGAUGCAGAAUUCAACUUCCUAUAGUCAAUGCACAUUCUAUGUCCAGUUAUAGUUCUAGUGGGUAUGAGCUCAUCUUUAUCAUUUUUUACAACAGUCAUACCUCCUUUCUUUGGAACACAAUGAACUGGAGAUACCCAAGUGCUAUCGGAAAUAGGGUAAAUUACACCUGCUUCCAAUAGUUAAAGUAUCUCCUUCUUUACAACUUCUUUUAAAUUAGGAUUUAACCUUCUUUGGGGUUCAAUGCUCGAAUAAGAUUCAUUUUCAAGAUGAAUGCGAUGUGUGCAUAAACUAGGUGAAAUGCCCUUUAUAUCAUCAAGUGAAUAACCAAUGGCUCUUCUAUACUUUUUCAGUUCAGUUAACAGAAGAUGCACUUGUUCAUCGGUUAAUGCAUCAUUCACAAUGACAGGAUAUGUAGAGUUAUUACCUAGAAAUGCAUACCUGAGUCCUUUGGGAAGCGGCUUAAGUUCAACUUUUGGUGCCUUGAGUUCAGACCAGUCGUCUGAUGUUGGAAUGAUCAGCUCCGCAGGGAUGUCAACUGUAGUGGUCGAGUGUUCAGUCGAGUAAGUCCUCGAGUGAGCAGGUUGAGCCUGAGUUGAGUCCUCGUCAUUCACUGCCAUUACCUCUGUUGCUGACCCAUUCAAUUCCUCAAAGGAUUCUGACUCUUCUACUGCUUUGUGUGAGUCCAACAGCUUCUGGUAACCCAAAGUUUCUAAAUGCAGAAACCCUUCUUCACCAUUCUUGGUCAAAGCACUCUUAAGGUGAUCUUCUUCUGCUAGUUCCUCUAGUAACUCAUCAGCUAACUGAUCCAUUUCUUCAAUCCAAAAGAGUUGCCCUUCUAUAGUUGGCUUCUUCAUUGCAUCCUUUAUAUCAAAGGUCAUUUUAAGGUCUUUACCAAGGUUCAGAUCGAUCUUCCCCUUCUUGACAUCAAUGAUAGCUCCAGCAGUCGCCAAGAAAGGUCUUCCCAGAAUCAGAGGGUCCUUUGGUUCUUCAUCCAUUUCAAGCACUACAAAAUCAGUAGGUAUCUCUACGACUCCGAUCUUGAUUGGUAAGUCUUCAAGCAGGCCAUGAGGUAUUCUGAUGGAUCUGUCUGCUAGGAUCAGAGAGAUAUUGCAAGCUUUAUAUUUGCUGAAACCAAGUCUUUUCGCAACUGAGAGAGGCAUGAGGCUCACUGAUGCGCCUAGAUCGCAAAGGCAUCUGUUGAAUGAUAAAGGACCUAAUGAACACGGUAGAGUGAAUGAGCCAGGAUCACCAAGCUUCUUUGGAAUGAUCUUCUUUUGUAUAAUAGCACUGCAUUCAUGACUCAAUACUACCAUUCCUUGCACUUCUUGAAUUCUUUCCAUGAUCAGGUCUUUCAGAAAAUUGUGGGAAUCCGGAAUAAGCGCGAGAGCAUCAACAAGAGGUAUUCUUAAUUCAACUUCUUUGAUGUUCUUGGCAAACAUAGCUCUAUACUUUUCUGCCAAUGCUUUCUUGUGUCGUCCAGGGAAUGGAAGUGGGGGUUUGUAAGGAGGAGGAACAAAAACCUUCUCCUUGUUCUUAGCAGCAACUGGUUUUAGAACAGCAGGUGAUGUUACUGGAAUUGGUGAUCGAGUAACAUGGUCGAGUAGAGGGUCGAGUACUUCUGUUGGCUUGUCAGCUUGAUCUUCAUUGAGAUUGAAAUCCUCCCCAUCUUGGUCUGCACUGUCCUCAGUGGCUGGCUUGGGUCCCUCUCUGGUUGGAAGUUCUUUACCACUGCGCAGGGUGAUAGCAUGAGCCUGAGCAUAGUCUUUUGGAUUCUGAAUCGCUUUGCCUGGAAGUUGGCCAGUAGGUUUUGGAGCAGAUGUUGAUGUAGAUUGUCCUUCCAAGUAUCGGACUUUAGAAUUCAAUGCCUCCACUUUGACAUUCAAGUCAUUGUAGCUACAGUCCAGCUUAUUGUGUAAUUCAGAAAUCUUCUUAGCAAUCUCCAUGGAGCCAGAUGCUUGUCCUUGGAGAAGUUGUUGUAGCAUUUGCUUCAUGUCAGGAUCAGGGGCAGCAUUACCUUGGUUUUGCUGAGGUGCAAACCCAGGUGGUGGUUGCUGCUGGUAGUUCCCCUGGAAUUGUUGCUUGGGAGCAAAACUUUGGUUGUAGGGAACAAAAGGUUUAUUCUGACCCUGCUGUUGUUGUGGAGGAUACACUUGAUCCUGUGGAUUAGCAACGUUGGUGCUGCGGUAAGAAAGGUUGGGGUUGUUAGUCUUGAAGUUGUUAUACCCUUUGUAGCCACCUUGAUUGUUGAUGUAGCUGACCUCUUCUAACUGGUUCCCCUCCCCAUCUUGGACUUGAUACUGCUCGUCAUCAAGUAGAAAGUGCACAUUCUUCUGCUGGCCAAGGAUAAGCCUAUCCAGUUUCUCAUUAAGAGCUUUCAUCUCUUUACUAUGCUUUGCAUCUGAAUCUCCAAUACCCCUGUUAGAGCGAUCAAAAUCAUCGUUAUAAUUACCAUCGGAUUGAGCUAAGUUCUCAAUUAAUUCCCAGCCUUCUUCAACAUCAUUAUUCAAGAAAUUCCCAUUAGAAGCAGUGUCCAGCAACAUUCUGAUCUUGGGCAAAACUCCCCUGUAGAGUGUGCUUAGUAGAGAAGCCUUCUUGAAACCAUGGUGUGGACACUGUAUAGUGUAGCCUUUGAAUCUCUCCCAGGCUUCACAAAUGGAUUCAGACUGCUUUUGGGUAAAACUGGAGAUUUCAUUCCUAAGCCUUGCAGUUCUUGAAUUUGAGAAGAACUUUGUUAAGAAGGCCUUCUUGCAAUCGUCCCAAGAUGUGAUGGAGCCAGCAGGUAACGUCUUUUCCCAUUGGUGUGCUUUGUCUCCCAGUGAGAAGGGAAACAGGCGCAGCUUGAAACUGUCCUCACUAACACCGUUUAUCUUGGUUAGGCUGCAGAGCCUGUCGAAGUUAUCCAAGUGGUCUAAGGGAUCUUCCAGAGGUAGACCAUGGAACUUGUUUCCUUGAAUCAUCGAGAUGAGACCACUUUUAAUCUCGAAGUUGUUGUUUUGGACAGCAGGAGGCACAAUUCCUUGCCUCUGAUGGUGGUUUCUUGGUGCAUCUCCAGCACCAAUGUUUGCAGGCAGAUUGUUGACAUCUUGUUCAUCAGCCAUUCUGAAAGGAUGGUUGUGUUCAAGGUCUGUAGUGUCUCUCCUUUCCCUUAGUUCUCUGUCAAUACGGUCAAUGUUAUCGUUGAAAAGGAGGUUCUGGUUGCCUUUUGAUCGAGUUUGCAUACAGCAGGGUUGUACCUGGAUCAAGAAGACAACAAGAAAAACAAAAAGUUAGUAACCUAAGUGAAAAUUGAAAUAGAACUUGAUCUAAGCAAGUCUGAAAUCUCAAAUGUAACAAACAAACACCCAAAUGGCAACGGCGCCAAAUUGAUAGUAGGAUUUUAACUAAGGUCAAUUAUCCUUAAAUCACUAUCAUGUCAUUGUAGUAUUUAAGGUGUCAAUCCAAAUGGGUGUGAUGCUAGCAAUCAAGAUGCAGUCAGAUUUCACAGAGUCAAGCCAAGCAAUAACAGGUUUUGAUGUUGUUAACAGUUCCAGUGAUCAUGCAGAAAACAAUAAUUCUAACAUAAACAGAUAACACACUCGAUCACACAGCUUGAUGCCAAGCACUGGAUGUGGUCGAGUGCCAGGUCGAGUACCAAACAGAAACUGCAACAAAUGUACUCGACUGCACAGUACGUUUCCAAACCGCUGGGUGUGGUCGAGUACUUCAAGUGAAAUAAGUAAAAAUGCAAAAACUAAGCAACAAGUAACGAGAUCAAGCAAUCAAUAGCGAUGUGAACAAAGAAAUCAAUUGGAAGAGAAAUUCCCGAGGAUGGGGUAAUCGAGUAGUGAAGUCUCCUUAAUCUAACAGGUCGUUAACAUGCUCAACAAACUAUCCCUAGACAACAAGUUCAAUAGCCAAAUCAAAGUGCUACCGCAACAGAGAUCCUCAAGCAAAGCUAGUCCCAGACUCAAUCACCAUUGACGAGAGCUAACCUAACAGGCAUUACGAAACAACAAGUCUAAGCCAAAACGCUCCCUGUAACCAAUACCUUGGUACAGAGCCACGAAUCUCUGGAAUUAGUGGUUCAGACAUUUCAUCGAACACCUUUUGGGUGCGGAAAUGUCUGGGCUCAGAUUCCAGUUGAUCAGAAAGCAAUCAGCAUUAAGAACAACUAAUCCAGAAGGGAUCUACCAAUCAAACUCAACCACCUAGCAGAUCAAGGAUUCUAAACUACUCUAACCCAUCCUCAAGAACCCUAAUCACUACUCAAAAUUCAUAACCAAGAACACAAACCCAGAAAUACAUAAAAACUUCAUAUUAGCAAGAUCUCAACAAGAUGAACAACUUUGUAGAAGAAAUCAAAAGCAAAUACUCAAUAGAUUAAGAGAACUCUGGAUUACAAAUAUGAAGAAAGCAAUAAUUGUUCUGCAGAAUAAAAAACUUCGUCUGAAAAUUAUGAGAAACAACCUAUUUAUAGCAAAUACUAGAAAACCCUAAAUCACAAAACGACAAAGUAUUAAGGCGGUUUACGGAGACAUUCGGCUUCGUGCAAUCGAGUGAAGAGGUCGAGCAAAGCUGGCUCCUUUGCGGUUUCUUGAUAUGGUCGUGAUGCGAUCGAGUGACUAGGUCGAGUAUGCACUCGAGUCCCGCUUCAUCUUCUUCUCUUCCUUAUGCUCAGUGUCUGGUUGAGUUGGGAUCUGAGAAGCCUCUGAAGCGUGCAGUCGAGUGCUUGGUCGAGUAAGUUGGUGGAGGAUACUCGACUGCGUGCUCGAGUCGUGAUCUGGAGUCGUGGUCUACUUGGCGAAGGAGAGGGUACUCGACCACGAGGUCGAGUGGUAGGUCGAGUUUGUGAGGAAGAGGGUACUCGACUUGGUGCUCGAGUUGGUGAUCAACUUGGUGCUCGACUUGGUCGUGGUCGAGUGCAUUUGGAAGGUCAUGAUGAUAGUGCUCGACCUCGUGGUCGAGCAUACUGAUGGGUUCUGGUCCACUUCUUCCAAUUUGCUCACCAACAGCUCCAAAUCACCUGAAAACAACUCAAAUAUGCAACAUGCAUGCAAAACUAUCCUAAUCAUGCAAAGUGAUGACAAAUGAUGAAGAAUGGUAUGAAACAAUGACGAAAUGAUGAUAAAGUGAUGCUAAAUGGAUGCUCAAAACAAGUAAAAUAUAGACAUAUCAAUUUUCAUACUCUUAUUCCUUUAAACACGUCCUGACUAUCCUCCAACUCCUUUCAAUUCCUUGUUUUGAUGCUGAAAAGUUGUAGAAAAUGAAAAUAGAAAAGCCACAUAAUAUCAUCAGUCAUAAAAACAACUUCUACUCUAGUCUAUAAGAAUGGAGAAAACCAUUAUGAUUAGUUAACAUAUUUACCUAGUCGAAUUGGAACUCUUUUAGAUUCUUUCCAUGACUGUCUUUAGUGAAGGUUUUGAAAGACUUCUUUAUAAACUACAUUCAUUGUUUUGCUCUGUGGCUUACCUUUCUUGUCUGUUAUAAGACUCUUCAAACCUGAUAUAAGGGUAAAAUUAAUAAUCUUAUACAUAAUUUAAACAGUCAUAUUCUGGAUAUAAGUAUCUUCAUACCUGAUUUUGACGACACUCUAGAGAUUGCCACGUAUAGUUGACCAUGUGAAAAAACAGGUCUAGGCAAAUAAAGUCCAACGGAAGAUAGUGUCUGUCCUUGACUCUUGUUUAUGGUCAUGGCAAAAGCAACAGAUAGAGGAAAUUGCCUACGCCUCAUUUUGAAAGGCAAUCUGGCAUCUGAUGGUGUGAUGAGCAUUCUAGGAAUCAGAACAAUCUUACCAACUUUGUUACCUGUGAUAACUCUAGCUUCAAUUACCGUGUCUGCCAUUUGAGUGACCUGUAAUCUUGUCCCAUUGCAUAAACCUUUAUUAGGAUCCAUGUUUCUGAGUAGCAUGACCGGACAACCAAUCUUCACAUGCAAACAAUGGUUUGGCAAUCCAGAAACUCUAACACUGUUCAGAAAAUCAGGAGAAUAUGCGACAUCAUUCGCAGCACUUGUGUCUGAAGGGUCUAUACUAUCAUAACUUAGGUAAAUUCUCUCUUCACCUAAAAACAGAAUGAAAAUGGAUGCAAAUUUGAUAUAAGCUUGUAUUGAAAUUGUAUCAUAUUCAUCUGAAAAAAAUAAAUAAGGAAUGGUAAAAGUUAACUAACCAUCCAACAUACUCAGCAUAUGCUCAUUUAUGUUGUUGACAUCCUCAUUAGUAGGACAGAGAAUAGCUCUACCUUGAAAAAAUUUAGGAUCUUUCUCCACCAUAAAGGUAUUUCCAUAAACUGCAUCGAUGAUGGAUUCGAUUGGAUCUUUAUCCCGAAUAAUAAGUAACUCUUUUGGGAUGUCAAUCAUAGCAAUUCCAUCAUUAGGCUGUGCAAUUUUCCCAUCUCCAACAUCUAGUAUCCACUUUGAGAAUUCCUCUAUUUCCCGCUUUUCAAGGUCACUAAUGUUUGCAAGAAGUCUCAUAUUCUUUGUUAGCUCCAAAACUCUGCAAUGCUCCCAAAUAUAAGAAGAAUUAAGCGCAGCAAACACAAUCUCCUCUCUACCAGCACCAUUGAUAACCGGUAACACUUGUCUGAAAUCACCUCCAAAAACUAUAACUUUACCGCCAAAAGGCUUGUCCUCUGGAUUAUUCAUAAUAUCUCUCAGAGUUCUAUCCAAAGAUUCAAAGCAAUGCUUACUCAUCAUAGGAGCUUCAUCCCAAAUAAUUAACUUUGCCCGGGUAACCAACUCACCAAGAUCUGAUCCACGUGAAUGUUACAUGUAGACGCCUCAUUGGGAUUUAAAGGAAUACCAAACCUGGAGUGUGCUGUUCGACCGCCAUCUAAAAGCAGAGCAGCAAUACCGCUAGAAGCGACAUUUAAGCAUAUGUCCCCUUUUGAUCUAAUAGCAGCAGACAAUAAUUCCAAAGAAAAGUUUUCCAGUACCUNNNNNNNNNNNNNNNNNNNNNNNNNNNNNNNNNNNNNNNNNNNNNNNNNNNNNNNNNNNNNNNNNNNNNNNNNNNNNNNNNNNNNNNNNNNNNNNNNNNNGAAAAAGGGUUAAGAUUUCCCCCAGACGGCAGGUCAGCAGCCAAUAUUUAUGAUUGUAGUUAAAAAGUUUAUGAUUGUUAUUAAAAUUUGAACAAAAGUUAAUGUAAAACAUUACAAACUUCCAAUUCAAAUGUUUGAAUAACAAAAGCUAAAAGUUGUCUUUUACUUGCAAUAUAAAAAUAAUCGGGAUAUAUAAGAUUAGGCAGAGAGUAAUCGAAUUAGGCGGAAGUAAUCGGAUUAGACGGAAAGUAAUCAGAUAACCGAUUCUUUUAAGAGAUUAGUCAUUAACUUAGGCGGAUAGGGUGGGCCUAGCGAUGACACGGAGAGUAAUCAGAGCUAGGCGAACAAGGACCAUCUCCAAUGGUAAAACCCUUUGGGGGUUCUGAACCACUUUUUUUGUUUAAAUUUUGCAAAGUUCAAAACUAAGAAUUCUAUGAGAGGUUUUUAACCAUUUUCUCUUCCAAUGGUAAAAUUUCUAUGAGAUUCUUAAGAAAAAAAAAAUUCAAAUUUCGCAAAACAUUAAGUUAAAACAAGAUGAAGUCCAACAACACAAAUUAUCCAAAACUUUGUCACACAUACUACGACAGAUCCCGCAAGCACAUCGAUAAUGUAUGUAGCUCUUGACAUCGUUAACAUGAAGUAUAUACAGAGAGAGAGAUCACACAUUGAUGAUCAGAUAUUUCUCUUACUCUAUGUGGAUGAUAUGCUAGUAACAGCUAAAGACUUGGAGAAGAUCAAGGUCUUAGAAGAGUUUGAAUAAGGAGUUUGAGAUGAAGGAUCUAGGACCAGCCACUAGAAUCCUUGGAAUGGACAUCAUCAGGGACAGAGAGAAGGGGUUUUAAUGUUAUUAAAAUUAUUGUUUAAUAAAAAAUGUUAUAGAAUAAAAUUUGGUAUAAAACAUCGUACAAGUAUAUGAUUUGUCAUUUUUCUUUAAUUGUUUUAUAUUAUUAAAUAUUUUGCUAUUAGUAAAGAUUUUAAAAAAUAUUUUGACAAAAUAUUAGAAAUUAAAAUACCAAAAUAUGUACCCGUUUAGGUAUAUAUGUAUUUGUUUAUUAGUAAAUUUUAUUGGGAAAUUGUUAAAAAUACCCCUUUUGGUGUGCCCCUUUUCAAAAAUGUCCAUUUUAGAUGUCCAUUUUCAAAAAUGCCCCUUUUUAAAUCUGAAAUUUUUAUAAAGUUUUAUUAGGUUUAUAAGGUACUUAUGGAUUGUAACUAUUACUUGAAGACUCGAUCCAAGUAUUUAUAAGGUUUUAUAAGGUGUUUUAAAAGGUUUUACAAGUUAUUUUAAAGGAUUUUUAAGGUUUUUCAAAGGUUUUAUAAGAUAUUUUAAAGGUUUUUAAAAGUAUUUAUAAAGUAUUUAUAAGAUUUUAGAUACAUAGAAAUGUAGUUUGUGUAUGUUUUAAUAAUAUUACAUACAUAUUUGGGUAAAUCUUAUAUUUUUAAGAGCAUUUUUUAUAAGGUUUUAAAAAAGGGGUAUUUUUGAAAAGUGACAUUGAAAAAGUGGCAUUUUUGCAAAAGCUCCAAUUUUAUUUGUGGUUUAAUUGAAAAUAAUUUUUAAAAUUUUUUUUGCCAAGUGGACUAACAAGGAAGAGUGAAACCUUACUUUUAUAUGUAUGAUUUGAUAGUAAUCAAACAAUUGAUUCUUACAUAUAAUUUAAAUUGUUAUUUAUUAUAAAGGCGCAAUAUGGAUGGACAACGAACGGGACAAUAAUAGUAUAUUUCUUCUCGAUCACAUCAUCGUGUAGGAGUGCUUUAGGGAUGGGAAUACAAAACAUAUUUGAUGAGACAAGCCGGACCGCGUUGAUUGUGGUUGGGGUCUUGAACGCAUGUUCCGCGGGAUUAUUGAACUAUAUGGCACUUGUUGAUGUUUUGGCUCUAAAAAUGGACAUGAAACUUGAGUCAUGUGCUUAUGUUGUCGUUUUUAUAGGUGUUGGGGGAAUGUAUUUGAUGUCUAAGUGGGCAUAGCACUGCUGAGUUAGAGGUCAUCCUUACUAGAGACAUAUUUGAUGUCGUUUUUUUCCAUGAGCUUUUUUAUAUUCUCUUGGAGACAUUUUGAAGUUUGGAAUUCAUGAGAGGUAGAAGAAAGAAUACUAGAGAUAAAUCCAGACAAUCCCAUCUUCAAGACUUAAAUCAAAAACGAAUUACGAAAUAAAAAUACAUAACAGUAAGUUUCGGUUAAGAGUGAAGCAAGUGAAGAAUCUUUUAAAACAAAAAGGUUUUAUUUGAAGAUAUGAAGGAGAAGACUCUAGAGGAGAAAGAGGGUUCAAAGCAAACUCAAGAUGUACAAACCCAUGUGUGAUCUGUGUGUUUUUAAAACAGAACCGUACAACUAAAGCUUAUGCCAUGAGGAGACAAAGUGUGCAAACCUCCCAAGAGCAUUGACACGGAAAGACGAAAUUAUUACCUGCCACUAUGCCAGUUGAGACUUGAGAAGAA
rnacentral:lncRNA from 1 species